rnacentral:lncRNA from 1 species
UUUUUUUUUUUGUUGAGAAUCUCAACUUUUUCUUGUUCUUUUUUUUAGCAGAAACUUUUUCUUCUUCUGAGGGCAAUCACGAGCACGGCAGGCAAAGCUGCCUUUCGGCCUUUCCAUUUCCAAUAGUACUAAUGGGCUGAAGCCCAAACAUUGGUGGCAGCGUAUUUCGGCCCAACUAAGCAUGGAUCGUGGGAUGCACGGGCUUUACUUCCGUUGGGAAUGGUUUGGACGCCCCAGGUGUCGCCGCCGUUUACUCGGAGAAAAAAAGGGGGCCGCCGCCGAAGUCGACGGGGGCGGACCGGCGGAGAGGGAGGCUGCCGAAGUGCCGAUGCCGGGGCUCUGAACUACGACAAUGUUGCUCGUCAGUGAUCUCGCGCUGUCGGCGGCCGGGGGUCUCUUGCUCCGCGUGAAGGCUCGGGGAACCUGUCGCUCCGCACUCCGCACCCUGCAGCUCAAGGUGAGGACCAGAUUUAUGUUCCAUUUUGCAGUGCUCUGGGGUAGAAUUGCGUGCUCUCAGCCGGUCGCAAACCAAUUUAGCUUUUCUAGUGUAAGAUUGUGUGAUUUGUUUUGGUGCUGUUGUGUCGUUAAAGGCUAGGAGGUUGUUAACACCAGUGUAUUGUUUUGUAAGGUUGUCAUAUCUGAUGCCAAAACGUCACAUUCACAUAUCGGAAUUGUCGCCAUAUUCUUCAGCAACUGUUGGAGGUGCAGCAGAAACCUGGGAAGUGGGAAUUCGUAUCUCCUAGCAUGGUUAACAUUUCGGAGUCUUACCCAAAUCCCACUCCCCUUGUGUUGUGGUAUACUUCUCUGAUGUAGAAGUUCGUACCUGUUGUUGACCAAGCUUCUGGCACUUGCCUGGUGCAUUGGUGCAAGUUUAAGAAACAAGAAGUCCUGACACUUGCUUUUCCUUGUUCCAUGAAGAUUGUCUUCUGAUUGGUAGCAAUCUUUUUUUUCUGGUGAGUUCAUUUAACAUUACAUUGCUGAACCAGACAUGAUUUGAUGCAAAAGUAAUAUUGAAAAGGUCAGUGUCCGAGGAGUGCUAGGUGAGUGGCUGGGUACUGCCUAGUUGCGAUGGAUGGCUGCCUAGACUGGCUGAGGCAGGAAGGUGGUGCCAAGUGCCUAGACUGGUGAAACAGCCCCAACUGUGCUAUUUGUUGCCAAAGGGGUUGGAUUAAUUCCGUCAGGGAGUUUACAAUAGGAACACUGAAAAUUAAAGUACAGUUGAAAGAGAGAGUUUACAAUAGAAACGCUGAAAUUAAAGUACAGUUGAGAGUUUGGGUGCUGGGUGUAGAAGAGAACUGAAAAGGAAACAUCUGUAGAACAUCAUCUGAAGCCUACAUUAGGACUCUAAUACCAAUUGACCGUGCUUCCACCCACAAAGCCGCCUCAUUCUUGAGAAUCAUAAUAACACUCUGGGAACUGAAACUUUCUGCUGGAAAACAUGUCGGUUCCUCUCCUUCCAUAUCUCCCAGGUGUGGAGGAUGAAGAAUGAAUCCACAGACGUAACACCUUGCUUCCCCCAUCAGGAUUUCGGCAAGUCCAAAUGCUCCUGCACUUUAGUACCUAUAGUUCAGAAACUAUUUUGCUCUUCUUUAUUGGAGCUUUUGUGCAUGUUUACCACACCACUCACUACCAAAUUUCAAUGCUAAAUUUAGUUUCAAAAACUGUGUUUUCUACUUCAGAGAUGAAGGAAGUAAAAGCUAGAUGAUGUUUACAUAAUAUGAUUUAUCAGCAUUUCUCCUUCUGAGGUUGUAUGUUAUGAUGGGUAAAAAAUCUAACUAAAAAUGCUUUCUUAGUAUGCAUUUCCCUAUUUAAUCAAACUAUAAACUUAAUAACUUCAAGCAACUGUACUUGAGUUCAUAAUUCCUUGCUUGACCAUAAGUGUAAGUGUAACUGUGCAAGCAAUAUGGAGCCUUGUGAAUAGGUGGCUUCACCGUGAAGAGUAUGACACAUGCAUCUGAUUUUGGCUCGUUAGAUGCUCAGCGGCUUGGGGGAGCGUUUUGCAGGGUGACAGAAAGAAGAAGCGACGUGUAUGUAGUAGUCAGCUGCUACACACCAUGUGGAAUAUUUGGAAUGAAGAAACCAUCUCAUUUUCACUGGAAAGCACCUUUUGAAUGCUGAUGAUCUCAUAAGCGUCGCUGCGUCAGCAUGUUACUUAAUUUCUAGUGCACACCAGAACUUUUUACAGUGUUCUACUUAUUUAAUUGCCAUUCCAUAACAUAAAACUCUCACAUUACACCAUGAGGAUUGAUCACCCGUUGCUAAAACAUGAUUCAGAUGACAGCACCGAACUUUUGGUCUAAUUGUCUGUAGCGUGAUAUGUUCCCUUCAGUAGUCAGUGAGUAUUUUGUUUUAUUACAAGAAGGUUGAAUUAACAAUUUGUUCGUCCCCUGGAAUGGUGCAUAUUCAUGUUCUAUACUAUUUUUUCAUCUAAGAAUUAGUUCUCAUUUUUUCAAAUUUGCAAAAGAUUUGUUUCCUCAUCUUUAGUUUAUCUCAUUGUUGUAUCUUGACGGUGGAUCUUUGCUUAAUCUAUGGUGGUAUGACUCUAUAAGAUGGUAUGGAUGCUCCACCAUUUAAAAUUGUUUUUUUUUGUGUUUGAGUACAUAAUAAAGAGAAUAAAGAAAAGUGAAGACAUGGCCCAAUUUUUUUUUACUCUGCUGACUUGCUUUUCCAUGAACUGUUCCUCACCGUCCUAAUCUUAUAUUGUUCUGUAGCUUACAUUGGCCUGCAUGAACAUGGGAAUGCUAGAGGUUCCUUGAAGGGCCAUUAAUGCAGUGGUCACUGGUCAACUGCAAUCACGAUUAUGACACCCUGCCUGGAGGUUUUAAGUGGAAGCAAUCACAGCUAAAUAUUGCUUGGUCUCUACUCUCCAAGAUGUUUUCAGAAAACCAAGGGCUGUCCUGGUCCUGACUAGCAUUUUAGGACAUUGAGUUACUUGGAAGCCAAGGCUGUGCUUACUGCCUCUCAGGAUAAUGGCCAAGCUAUAUACUGCAUGCCAUCUGGCCAAAUUUUCCACAGCAGGUAAAACACUGGACCUCUCUAUACGGCUAUAGUAUCUUGAUAUCGUCACCGUUAAUUUCUCUAUCAGAGAGAGCCACAGGCUCACAGCAUAUAACAGUGUAGAAAACUAUAGGCGUGUAAAAAAAACAUUUUAGUGUUAAUUAUACCUAAUUUUUGAUGGUGCACCAGGGAUUAGCAGCAGUAGGUCACCAGGAUCAUGGAAUUUUUGUUGAAAUUGCAUAUAGUUUUCUGUGAAUAUCAAAGUUGUGCACCUGGGUAUUUUUUUGCUAGCUCCGCCCCUGGGCGUGUGGCAGUAUAAGUGUAUAACUAAAUAUGCACAAGUCAUAAGGUGUUCGUGCAUUCAACUCCUAUUACCUACUCAUGUGCAUGUGCACAUAGGGUUAAAUAUCAUCAACAGAGAGGUUGCUGGGCAAUUGAAGUAGAACGACACUAGGUGAAGGAGGGCACAGACUGGGGGAGAAAUAUGCCUGGAUCGAAUAUCCGGUCGAAGGAAAGACCACGGCAGGAUUUUAAGAACUAGGAACCUUUGCUUAAUUUGCUCUGAAGAGGACACAAAUCUGCGAUGCCAUCCUUUAAGCAGCAAUUACUUGACUUGACCCCUGAGAAAAAGUAUCUACCUUAAAAGACACAAACUAACAGAAGAUAAGCAUUCAGACUACAAAUUAUUCUAAUCUGUAACACAACGCAUUCAGACCCCUGAGAAUAGGAACUGUGGUGAAUAGUACUGCAUGAUAAUGAAGUGCAAAACCAUUUCUGACUUAGCACAUAUUGACACAGAGAAUUGCAUGUACAGGUUGAAUAUGAUUAUAUGACCAUGUCCCGUUUCAGGAUGUGUGUACUGAUGUAUUCCUUGAACAUUUGUUAGUUGAAUCUGUAUGUGUUUAAUGUACUCAAUCAUCCAUACUUUUGUAUGGCUACGCUAUCAACAGUAGCUGAUUGUAAUAUACUCAAAUAUUGCUGCCUCCAUCUGUUUUUAGUUUUAGUUUUUGUGAACUGUGAAAAUUGUGAAUUGGAGUCUGGAGUUAGGUCUCACUUUUGUGAAGAGCUCCCUUUAAGAAAAAGGCUAAUAACAUAUGAUCUGACAGAGGGAGGGAAGGAGGGAGAGAGAGCAGAAAUAUUACUCCCUCCAUUCCAUAAUUCUUGUCUCAAAUUUGCCCAAAAAUGGAUAUAUCUAUUCCUAAAAAGCGUCUAGAUACAUGUAAUAUUUCGACAAGAAUUAUGGAACGAAGGGAGUAGUUACGAGGAACAAUCAGUUUGCUGAAAAGGCAAUAGUACAUUACUACCAUACAACCAUAACUUAUGUACAAAGCUAGCCACUAUUACACAGGUCACGGAAACACACACACACCCUACACCAUAAUACUGGGAUGUCUGGCUAUAGCAGUCAGAGAGCCAAAAUUUUGGGGACACUUCCACCUACCUAAUCCCCACAGUACAAACUGCCUGCAAUUCAAUGUCCAUUGCUAUUAUUUUUCUUUGCUGACAUCGCUGCUGUUAUCAUCAUCGUCAUGGACGCAGAAGAGGUCAAGGCGGCUGUGGCUUAGGCGGAGCGAGUACAUUGUUGUCUUGUACUCUGCCCAGGUGAACGAUCGAUACCGACGUGGUGAGCCAGCUGUGACCGUCUCUGGGAGCGCUGAGAUUCGUGCAUGCAGUGGUGGCGCUGCAAAGUAGAUUGUGGACAGCCUUGGCCUGCAGGCGCUUGCGAUUACCCUGUGCCGGACGCUUAGGAGCUUCCCAUUUGUCAGAGCCUGGAAUUAAUGGAGAAGGCAGAUUAAAACAAUAAUACAAAACAAAUCUCAGGCUCAUAGCAUCAUCAUGGUUAAUUCAAUGAUUUUAUUAGGUUCAGUAGAACAGCUGUAUUCACAGGACAGAAAUAGAUGGUGUCAUGACUCGUGUCUCAGCUGGUAAAGGGAACUUUAGGCGAUAAAAUAAGCAAAAUGUCAGUGUUGGCAAGUCUUUGGCAUACGUGGAAAUAGUUCGAAUUUUCGAAAAACAUGGAGGUCUAAUCAGAUAUUCUUUUGUACAUAAAAGGGUUAAGCACAUAAUGACCAUCCUUUUCAGCAAGUAAAUAAACUGGUCUUAUGAUCCAUCGGAAAAAAAAAAACUAAUCGUAGUCCCUUUCAGGCUAACUCUUUGUUUGUUUUAGAAUCCAUGUGGGUUUUCCUUUUUAUCAGCAGUUCGUGUAAGCAUAUAUAUAUGUCUAACGGUUUUUUUUUGCCGUAAGGUUAUGUGGUGUCAUUACCUGGAGGAGAUCACCAACAUUGACGAAAAAUGCUGAUGAGUCUGCCGGCACCUGAAUCCACACCUCCUUGCCGUUGACAUCCGGCAGAAGCACCUGCAGGCCGUCGACGUCGUUUGCCCGGAGCAAGCUAAGGAUCUGCGGGUCGGAGUGCUCACCGAACCCGAUCCGCCCACCUCCCGUUGGGUUCCCACCAUUUCCAGCCUUGGCCCUGCAGGCAGUCCCCUUGAGCUUGCAUUGGCCAUCAUGGUCAAGCUUGUGAACGGUGCAUGAUGGAGGGUAGUGGUUGAUCCUCAGGAGGGAGUCACUGUCAGGUUCUGUGAUGAGCUUGCUGAAGGAUCUGGGGUCCUCAAGGCCUAGCCCCUCUCCUAACAGGUCCAGGAUGUCACAUGCAAGCUGCUUCACUGCCUCCACAUACUCAUUCACCACACAACUGCAACAAAAGCGAAUAAGGAAUUUCAACACGUGAGUCAAAUCAAACACAGGAUAAUUUUUUUUAUUAUCAAAAAGGUUGCUGUUAUCACAAUCAGCUGCAUGGCCAUCAAAAGUAGAUAGAAGAUUGGAGAACUAUGGGGAAGAUUUUGACUGAUGGACGUGUGAACCUGCAGCAACACAAAAGCUGCAUCCUCUGCCUGCCUGCCGGCCUGCCUGUAUCUACACACAUGCUAUAUUUGUUUCUUGUGGCGCAUGGAUAGCUCAGAAUCAGCAGUCAGGGUGCAGCUGAGUGUGACAAAUUUUCCAAUGGGCGUAUGGGUUCUUGACAGGAUUGGCCAUGCCUUUUUCACUGCUCCAUGGAAAGACCCAUGAGAACUUGGAUCAUAUAUCACUGACACUACACAACAUCUGGGAUAUUUCAUUUACCUUACCAUAAAAGGACCCUUUGCAUGUGUGCCUCCUUUCUUUUGCUUGGCUUUAUAUGGAUAGCAUGGAUAUGCUCUUUUGGGGGGCCUGGGGUUCAUUUUUAUUCUCAUCAAGCCUUUGUACUUCCAUCUCGGGGCCCCUCCCCCUUUUUUACAGUAACAAAAGUAGGUUAUUCUUCUUUAUUGUCUUGGAUAGAUUUCCAGGUUAUCCAGUUUUAAAGCUGAAGGAUUUCUGAAAUACUCCCUCCGAUCCUAAAUUGUUGUCGAAAUAUUACAUGUAUCUAGACGUUUUUUAAGAAUAGAUACAUUCAUAUUUGGCCAAAUUUGAGUCAAGAAUUUAGGAUCAGAGGGAGUAUUAGUUUAGGGGGUUGAUUUUCUGUCUAGUGACUGCACUAGGAUGCUACUAUCAAUAUUUUCUCAACUGAUGUGCUGGUUACAAGCUUAGGCUUUUGUAUGUAAUCAAGGCCUGAAGCUUAACAUUCUUGUACUGAAUUGGCUAUUUUUCCAUAUUAAGGAUUGGGAUAUGUAUUAAUGGCUGAUGUAUGUAUAGAUGAUAGAGAGAUAAGAGGAGUCUCACAAAAUUAUAGUGUAUACACCAAAUAAACAUAUAUCAUUAAUUGUCUAUAUGAAAACUUGAUGUACUUUGCUAUUUAAGCUUACAGAGCUAUCUGGUAGAUAUGAAUGGUCCAACUUUCAAGUACUCUCAUUCUAUUGCUUGCUGCAUCAGUUGGUGGUUGGAUACUGCAAUUAAUGGCAGGCCACUGCAUAUAUGUCAGAUUAAUUGAUACACAGAUAUACACAGUUUGUUGGAGAGGGGCCUGAGAGGGGUCUUCCAGCUAACUACCUAAGAGAGGGUUUCCUUGUCCCUUUCAUCUUAUUUGCUCUCAACAAACUCUGGUUAAUUAGGGCACUGCCUGGCCUGAAUAGUGAGUGCUGUGUACUCUCGUAGUGUUGCAUGCAUGACCUUUCUUAUUCAGCAUACAUGUGCACAAACAUAGUCAAGGAGAUCUGAUCUGUUGUGUCCUGCCAGUUGAUUGGGAUCUUUCUUUCUCCCAUCUGGGACAAUUUUGUCUUUCCAUUUCAAUAAUAGCAUGCCGUUCUAUUUUCAUAGAGAAAAUCGGAAAUUAUCAAUUGCCAUGUUUGCUCUUUUUUCCAAUGUUUUUUGGGUUAGAUAGAAACCUAACUUUCAUGACGAAGAUAUAUCUCUUAGUAAGCCCAUCCUGUGGAGCUAUCAAGUUUGUUGUGUCCCAUCAAUUGUUUGCUCUUCUUUUGCUUUACAAACUAGCUAUGUUUGAUCUUAAAUCGUUGGAACCAACUUAUCAUUGGCCUGCCUAGCACAGCAUCAAUUGUGCCAUUAUUGCGAUAAUUAUUGUUUUGAAAACUAUGUGUUCAUGUAUUUUCUCAAUUUAAUUGAUGGGAUCGACCAUCUGAAAAUGACAAAUAUGCAUAUGUAAUGAAUUUCUGCCGUGAAGCAAAAAAAUGAAAACGCCCACACACUAGCAUAUACUCCCUCCGUUCCAUAUUAAAUACUCCCUCCGUUCCAAAUUAACUGACGUGACGUGGAUUUGCAUAGAUUCUUAUACAAAUUCACAUAAGUUAAUUUGAAACGGAAGGAGUACAUAACAUCGAUCAAUUAGCCACGUCAGAGUCAAAUGCAUUUUUAUUCCUUCUUAGUUUCGCAAGAGUGAGUGCAUGCAUGACUGAUUCCAAUGCUAGCUUCUAUUGACUUCUAAAUAAACAAGAGAUACUUAUAUAUUGUACUUUGCACAGAAGUCCUAUAUAUAUGUGCGCAUGCAUGUAUAUGCAUGCACAACAUGACGUGUCCUGUCUUACUAAAUAUUGGUACAAUCUGAUGCUAAUGAUACAAAAAUAGUACUGUACUAUAUUGUUUUGAUGUUUUGGAACAAGGUCAGGUCUAUUAAUUGUGAAACACAAUUUUCUUUUCUGCCCACCCAAUGAAGGGAUAAUUGCAAAUUAUUCUAUAACCAAUCCAAAAUAAAAUAAUUUUCAGUGGUAGUAUAUAUAUUUGACACUACUAGCAGGCCACACUGUUUUCAGAAUAGCAAUGCAUGAGAGACAGGUCCAGGCCGGAUUAAUAUGAAACCACAUUGAUCAUAGCAACAACAACAUCAACACAUAUAGUCAGUUGGUUAAUUAAAGGGGCACUGCUACAUGUAAGCUUCAGACGUUCAUGUCAUGUAUCAAUGCAUUGGAGCCUGACAUCGAUCUGACACCCCUAAUGCAAGCUAGCGAUGUCUUCCUUCGACAGUUUUGAGCCUUAAACCCCUCUAGGAGUUUUGUAGAACCCACUUUAGCGAUGCAUAUGAAAUCCAACAAUAACGCCUUUCUCUAACGGGCUCGAGCUUUCUGAACCGACUAGACUAAAAAUCCUUACUUUCCAAACGAAGAAAUACAUGUCUAGCAUUUCGUUUCGGCAUUUUUUCAGGCCUUGAUCAACCCUCUCAAGAGUUUUUUUUUUGUUAAGAAAACAUUUAGAGAUGAUGUACUGUAUUCAUUAGAUGUAUUAGUACUCCUUUCAAUUUAUAAUUAACUGCAGCAACUCUUAUUACGCAUCGGAGAGAGUACUGUAUGUGUGCCACGUGAGCAUGUAUAUAUACUCUCUCCGUCCCAUCUUAAGUGAUUCAAAUUUGUCUAAAUAUUAAAAUACAUCUAGAUACGUGCAAUAUUUCGACAUCUAAUAUGACGAGGGAGUACCUUAUUUAAGACGUGUAUGCGCGCGCGUGUGUGCAUAUAUUGGAGGACAUACUAUAUGCAUGUAACUAAUACGGAGUACAUGUAAUUAGCUAGCUAGUUAUAUUUACCUGAAGUGCUUGGGGUCGUGGGCGUGGAUGGAGGCGGCCUUGUACGCGGGGUCGUUGGCGUGGAGGAGGAGGUACUCCAGCUCGCCGACGUCGCCGCUGAAGCCGAUGGUGCGGCACCCGUAGCCCAGCGGGCUGCUGGGCGGGCCCUGGCCCUGGACGCCGCGCGCGCGCUGCUUCUCGUGGGCCGGCAGCGCGAAGAAGGCCGCGGUGGCGGCGUCCAGCUGCCGGGCCGCCGGCGCCGGGCCGGGCACGAGCACGCCGUGGUUGACGGCCCGGAAGAAGCCCUGCUCCGCGCACGCGCGGGCCACCUGCCGCGACAGCAAGCCGCGGGGCGCCGACAUGUCCACCGUCGGUAUCGCCGGCAGCUGCAGGGCGGCCGCCGCCGUGGCGAUCUCUUGCCGCGCCGGCGUCGUGGAAGAAGGCACCACCAUAUUGAGUACAAUGCGUUGUGUGCGUGAGGGGAAGAGAGAGCUGGCCGGAUGAGCACUUGCAAGGGUCGAGCUUCGAGCUAGCUAGAGGAGAGAAGAGAAUGGGACUAUGAGAGUUGUGUCUUCAAAGUGGAGGGGGGAGAGAGUGGCUGGCUCUGCCGCCGCACUGGUAUAUAUGGACAUCUGGCGGAGAGAGAAGGGGAGAGAUUCCCGGUAGUAAAAAUUAUGGUCGUGACCCUAGUGAUCUAUAUUUUUGACUUGUGUAACGAAAUAUCUGCUCCCUCACUCUCAUAAUUAUAAUUAUUGUUUCAAAUUUGUCCAAAAUGAAUGUAUCUAUUCCUAAAAAGCAUUAGAUAUAUUUAAUAUUUUGAUAAGAAUUAUGUGACGAAGGAAAGUACUCCCUCCGUCCAAAAAAAGAUGUCUCAAGUUCGUCAAAAUUUGGAUGUAUGUAGACAUCAUUUAGUGUAUAGAUGCAUCCAAAUUUAGUCAAAAUUGAGACAUCUUUUGUUGAACUGAUGGAGUAUAUGCUUUUCUGGAGAGUUAUUUGAAAGACGGUUAUUUUCGUCGUAAGAGUUUGUGCACCUACGAGUGCAGCAUUUAAAUCUGCAAUUUUUUAUUAAAAAAGUAUCACAAUGCCUUCGGCAUAUGAUUUUAAGUAAAAGACGCAAAUCUUCGCAGAUAGCACCAUAGCCUUCGGAUUAGUAUCUAAUGGUCAUCCCUACUCCUUCUUUUCUGCCUGUUCAUUCCAAGUCUUAACAUACAAAAGAUCCUAUCAAUGGCGGACCAAUCGACUGAUCUGUAACUAAAAAUAAAGCGACUUGUACAUAGCAAAUCCCAAAAAACAUAACCACACAUACUUCGCAAAGGAAAAUUACCUGCAUUUUGACUACGAAGGUUUUCUUUUUGCAAGACACAAAUGAACGUAUAUUUUCGGCCGAAAUUUACAGUUUGCAUAUAAUAUUUUUGGGGGUUAUUUCAUAUUCUCUUGAUCUUUGAGAUCACUUAAAAAACUGAGAGGGUCCCGCAAAUUUGCGAGAAAGAGGACCUACUGAGGCAAGAGAGAAACCAACGAAAGGGUAAAAUUGAUAUUAGUCAUACCCUUUAAAACCCAUAAGAAAUUUGUACAGUCAACAUUUGUUCAUAUAAUUGGCAAUACUAUGGGAGUUUUGGAUGAUAUUAAAACUUAAGUAAAAAAUUAAAUAUGUUUAAGGAUGUUUAGUUACCUUAAUCCAAUCUAGAAUUUGAAAUUAGGAAAGAGAGAAUUCUAAAACUCUGCAACAUAAUUUAGAUUUUAAUUCACUUUCGGGUCACAAGGACCGAGAUAUGGUUUGGAAUAAGCAUCACUCAAAUUUUAGUUGUGAGAUAUGAUUUAAAAGUGUCACUUAAUUUUGAAUUUAAACGGGUGAGAUGUGAAUUUUUUUCAGCGAUUAAUUAUUUUUAAUAUGUUGUGACAUGGCAUCUAUGUGGCGUUCGAAUCAUCUUCCCUAUGGCACUACAAAGUGGGUCCAAUGUGUCUAGAUGGGACAAACACGGUAAUAUGUCGAUAAUACACAACUCAAGGAUAGCAAGAGGAUGAAUUUUCAACUUAUAUAAUCUUUGACGCUAACUCUAAAAUAAGGAGCAAGAGCUGCAAUUUACUGUCAAAAAUUAAUUAACACUGCAUACAUAUAACUUUAUAAAAAAGAAAAAUAAAGUGGAAACAAAAGAGGGAACCUUGAAAUAUGUAGUAAUCUUUCUCAACAUUUAGUCCAGUGACUUAGAAAAUCAUGUUUAGUUAUAUUUGUCUCAAGCAGUAAUUUUAUAACACUAAUUAAUUUCUUAGUUUAUAACAAACAAGACAAAUUACUGGUGGUUCAAAUUUUAAUCCGAGACCAGUUAACACCAAAACAGCAUGUCUAGUGAACCAUAUUUUUUUUUGAGCCCAGUCUAGUGAACCAUAUAUGUCUCCAACAGGAAAACCUUUGAGGGUUCACAAAGUUUACCAAUCUGUCAAAAGCAAAGAAGUUCAUGGUCAGUUUUUAUUUAUUAACAAACCACUACAGUACUUAGAGACCAGAACAAGUUGAUAUCAUAUUCUAGCUAACCUAUCCAGGUAUCCUGGUUACGAUGGCAAUAAAAAUACCAUCCAAUAAAUAUCCAACACCGGUGGAAUAGUCACCAUCGACCAGUACUCAUCCGGUCUAAUAGAUGGAUGAAAUCAACAUGACAGUGUCCCUUAAAAAUCAACAUGGUUUGAUGUGAGGACUCAACGCCCUAUGUUUAUCUCUACGUACGUGUUAGUGCUAUAGAGGCUCUUAUUCCUCUCUCUAACGUAAAAGACAGAUGCUCUGCUAAGCUUUAUUAAGACAGAUAUAUAAAAAUAAAGAACAGAGUGGGUUCUGUACAACAAAGAGAGUACCACGAAAAGAAGAGAAAUAACGCUCUAACAUUAGAGGGAAUUUCAUACGUACCAUCCAGAAUUUGUCCAGAUGCACAUGAUACCACUCAGAAUUUCCUCUUUGCAAAUAUACCACUAAAAUUUUGAACCGCGUACAAAUUAACCACGACAAGUAUUUAGGAACGGAGAAAGUAUUUGAGUAUAUUAUUUUCAUAUUGUUUUCAACACUAUUUUGGUUGUAAAUUAUUGUACGAGGUGGGUAUAUUAUUCUGCUGGAACUUAUUGGGGAAAUAGUGAUGUUAAGCUAAAAAGGGAUUCUUGUUGUUAUUUCAGGCCAAAAUUAUUUUCUUGAUGAAAUUUAUUCUAAACUUGUUUGCUUAACUAAUGGUGAUUAUGUACAUCAUAAUAAAGAGUUGUGGCUGACCGUGUCAAAGGUGCUAUGGGCAAAACAGUCUUUUCAUCAGUCAUUUGAGUCAACUAACGGCGCUGGUUAAUUUGGACGCGGUGCAAUAUUUGAGUGGUAUAUUUGAAAGGCAAAAUUCUGAACAGUAACCAUUUGGGCAAAUUUUGAAUGGUAUAUAUGAAAUUUCCUUAUCCAGAUGUCCUUCAUCGCGCGCCGUGAAAACCAACUCUUCAAGCCAGAUGUUCCACAACAGUCGCGUAGAUCAACACCAUAUCCUGAGAGAGAAAAGGUUCCUUCUUAUGUAUGCAUCGGAAUCUAAUCCAAAUUCAGAGUAAUAAAGCGGUGGUGUGAAUAUAAUCACCCUAAGAUGGAUGGUGCAGAGCCAGCAGAUUGAGGAUCCAGCCAUCCAGGCAUGUAGAACAUGAGUAAUCACCAAGUCUUCCAAACUUGUGUCUUGUUUGCAUCCUUGAAUGAGCUAGCGUAUAAAGUCCAAUAGUCUUGUUAGCUAAUAGCGGCUCUUUUAAUUUCUCGGCUUGGGGAAUUAAUUGUCGCAUGCAAGUUGCAUCAAUCAUGCCGGAGAUGCCGCAAACUGUCACGAAAUGAUAUGACAAAGGCGGCACAAAGGAUCAAAACCCUGGUUGGCCGGUAAGCAAACUGUCACAACUACAAAAACAGUCAUCUAUAGUCCCCGUCAAAAAAAAAAAAUAGUCAUCCAUAGCCAGAGGACUCUCUAUCACGUCUGAGCUCACAGAUAAUACUCCCGUUUUUAGAUAUAAAUAACAAAGAAAAACUCCCUCUGUUUCUAAAUGUAAAAAGACAUAACUUUGUUCUAAGUUAAAGUAAAAGACAUUGGAACACAAAUCUUAUGUCGUUUAAAAAAAUUAAAUGUAAAAAGACAUAACUUUGUUCUAAGUUAAACUUUUGCCAGGUUUAUAGAAAAAAUCACAUCUGGGAUUCUAAAUUAGUUUUUAUUAAAUCCAUCAUUUUUUCCAUAGUAUAGUAUAUUUAUUUCUCUACAUGUUAAUACAUUUUCUAUAAACUUAGUCGAAUUUAAAAAGUUUGACGUAGUACAAAGAUAAUACUUCUUAUAUUUAGAAACAAAGGUAGUACCUUGCCACUUUCUAAAUGCUCAACACUAAAAUUAUUUAUUAAUCUCUAAAAAUAGAAAUAAGACAAAAUAAAAUAAUGUUCUAAUUUAGAUGGGCUGAUCCGGCACACAGGAGUAACAAGUUGCCAUACAUUGUUAGUGUAAAAUAUUUGUUCCGGUGUAGGUAGUAGAAAGUAUACAUAUGAAAAUGGACAUAUAUCCACAUGGAUGUAUGAGGGGCGGGUCCACUUUGAGGGCUAUGGGGACAGCUGCCCUCACUCGAUUUUUAGCCUCUUUUUACCGGACUUAUGGUGUACUUCCUAUGAUACUAAAUUUUUGACUCAAAUUUGCUUAAAUAUAGACGUAUCUACUUAAAAAGUGUCUAGAUACAUGUAAUAUUUCGACAACAAUUUAGAAUCAGAGUACAAAAUGUUGCCACCCCUGCAUGUAUUCAUGAAUAUUCAGUUUAAUUUUAUCAUGAUCCGCCCAUGGAUGCAUAUGCAUGAAUCGACGCGCGGCACAAAGCCGCCCACAUAUAACAAGUUUGCAGUCCGCAGAAGUGCUGACUGUCUCUUCAGUGGUCGACAUUAGCCUAGCUAGCCAUGGCAUCAAGCUAAUUAACAAAAUUAUAGCAGAUACAAAGUUGUACUAGUUAGUUAGCAUCUUUUCGUUUUAGACCUAGAAUAUGCAUGUCAUCUCUACUCUACGUGUAUUUAGCUAGCUAAAUUAAGAACACACACAUAAUUUUUUCUCUUUAAGGCAACACAAAUAUAUACACAUUAGAUUCCUCAACAGUGACACAUAUGUGAUAAGCACGUAGUCUAACCAAUAGUCUAAUGCACAUCAAUAAUUAAUCCAUAGGAAGUUGGUCCUAAUUGCCUAAAAACAUAGUUAAGUAGCGUUGAUUUGUUCAGGUGCAGUGCUCGUCAAUAAUAUGCACGCAUGCAUGCUUUGCUCAGUGUGUAGCUAGCGUGAAUGUGCAUGAACCUGACCAGUUCGAUUAUUAAGGUGGGUAGUUAAUUAUAUUUAUUAUUAGAAGGGAAAUGAUCAUGUAUACGUAAGAAUAAAUUUUGCAAAAACUGCAAUUAAUUUAUUAUAGUUUUUUUAGAAGAAAACUGCAAUUAUUUGUCACCGGUACAAAGCAACUCGUCUUAAUAAACUCUUACACCCCUAUAACUGAUCAACAAGCAGCUUUGUUCCAAAUACAAUUUCUUAUUGUUACUACUUUUAGUCAUUUAGAUAUCAUAAUCUAGAUUGCGACUAACUGAUUGUCAAUAGCUUUUUUGCAAUAAUAAUAGAAAUCUCCCUCGGCCGGCCGGCCGGCCUCGCUCGAUAGAUGAUGCGAAAUGUUAAUUUAUAGGUAGUCAGCUGCUCUCUCACCCUAUAUCUAUAAACUAGAACACACUUAAUUAGUGAUCAGAUAGAAUACAUGAGUAAUUAGUUAUGCUUAUAUGGCAGACAAGACCCUGUUCUGUUCGGCGCCGUGCAUGAUUGAUGCUGACGGGAACCAAUAAUUAACCGUUGAUUAGCCUAAUUAGGGUUAAGUAGUGUUGUUGUUUUAUGAAGCAGAGAAGCACUUCAGAAACAGCUAUGCUUACAUCUUAGUAGAUUCUUGGAACAAUAAAAUUACAUGUCAAACGGCAGGAGGAACACUUGGUUCCUGAUACCCUUUCUUAUCCACACACGUACGCAUAUUCAAGCAAAGGUCUUGGUAAUACAUAUAGUUAAUUAAGAACAGAGGGACCAACUUUCCUGGACAGGAUAGAGAUUUGUGCAAUGGUAGAUAGCCUAGCUUCUCUUUUUGUCUCUGGCCUCCGUGAAUUAAGCAGUGUCUAGCAUGCUCUAAGUGCCUUGUGGCUUAAUUUAGGGUAUAUAAAUAAUUAAAAUAUCCUUGACAUCCAUAGCUUUUCUGUGCACGUGGCCUUAUCCUUUUUGUAGAAAAAUGAGAAGCUAGUAGCUGCUAGUGCAUAUCUUAGGCUCAGAACUUACACGCUAGUGCUUCAUUUUCAUGCAUGAAUGUCCCACCUCAGUCAACGCACACGUGAGAAACAGUGUAGCUAAAUAGCACUCGCUCGGUUUCAUAAUUCUCGUCGAAAUAUUACAUGUAUCUAGACGUUUUUUAAUAAUAGGUACAUUUAUUUUUAACAAAUUUGAGACAAGAAUUACGAAACGGAGUCAGUACUAUAUAUGGGAAAAUCUAAUUAAUGAACACAAGUGUUCUAGUUAGCCUUAACGACUGACGACUCUUUUUUUCCUGUCUAAAACCAAUCUGAAAAGUCUCUAUGCAUGUAACUGUGUAAUUCACAUGCAUGCAGAAAAGACGAACUAAUUUACGUCAACUACUUACAUGUGAAAGUGAAACUUUGAAGAUUGUUUUUUUUUUGCGAGAAAGAAGAUUCAAAAUGUUUUGUGACACAAACCCUUUAUCUGAUUCAUAAUCGGUUUGCAGCAGUGUGGGAUUUUAAAUUUGAUUAAUAGUUUACAAUAUGAAACAUUUUAAAAUUUGAAUUAAAGAGAGUAUUGGUGACAUCAACAAAUUUGUCAUGACUUGCGUGCAUGCAACAGGCAAUAGCUUGAUAUAGCUCAUAUGCAUGCAUGUGUUUACUGCAUGCCCACUGCAUUCACAGUGUGUGUCAAGUUGGGUUGCCACUUGCAAAAUUGCUAAUUUGGUUUUUGACACCGGUAUACAUCCGAAGGUGGUUCCAAAUCAGAACAACUGGAACCAGAGAAGGAGCUUGCUCCGAUGUCAAAUUUAAUCAAAGUUGAGACAUCAUUUGUUGGACGGAGUGGACGGAGUGAGUAGUAUAUCUAGGCGGCUAAUUAAAGAAUUAGUCCCUAGAUCUCUUGUCUACUUACUACAGAGUAGGAUCUGCGUAAUUUUCGUAGCAUUCCUUGUUAGAGAUAUAAUAUGGUUGAGAUUACUGCCAUCAUAUUUAUUGGUGUCACUCUACAUUUAAAAUGUUUUUUAAUAGAACAUUUAAAAUGUUCCAUGGGUUGAAGAAGACUCGCUCUGCAUGCGCCUGGGCUAUGGGCUCUGGCUUCUUUCGAAUAUGGAGAAAUUUCUCAUCUGCGUGGGCUUUGGGCUAGGGAUAAGAUGUGAGAAAGUGAGAGGCCAAGAGUUGCCUCGUAAAGCGGUUCUAAUAACGCAGGCAACAUCCUUAAAAAAACAAGUCGACAGUGGUCAAUGCACAACCAUACACUACUAUAUCCGUUUCAUAAUUCUUGUCUCAAAUUCGCUUAAAAAUGGACGUAUCUAUUUUUAAAAAUGUCUAGAUACAUGUAAAAUUUCGACAAGAAUUAUAAAACGGAAAUAGUAGUAUUUAGCAUUCAAAAAUGAUGAUGAAAGUCAGACAACAAUAUCUUUACAAGUCGACCAAAAUAAACCUGAGACCCUCGCGAAAGUAACUCUACCAAUCUACCACAAACUCUAUAACAAUUGUUGCAGCUAUGUGAUAACAAAACGAUCAUGCACCACCGAAAUUACCUAAAGUAAUCUUGAAGUACUUGGAGAAGUCGCAGACACGAUAGGUGGGCUCACAGUGAUGAGCACUUUCAGAUGCGUGGAGGUUUGCCUCUUAUUUUGUGAUAAUUUACUCUUCUUCUCUGCUGUAAUCGUACCAAUAUGUUCCCUCCGUUUCAUAAUUCUUGUCGAAAUCUUACAUGUAUUUAGACAUUUUUCAGAAAUAGAUACAUCCAAUUUUGAGAGACAAGAAUUAUGGAACGGAGGGAGUACUGCGUCUAAAAAAAUACUUAACGGUAUAACGAGCUCUAAUAAAACAACAGUCAAUGCAUUUAGAUCGCAAAAAAUGGUACAAAGGCUCUUAGAAAGCUUCUCUGGAAACCACCUUGAGAUCCCCUCUUUUAUUCUUCUUUCUUGUUUGGGGACGGCUACGCAGCGCGCGCGCACUUUUUUGUCAAAACAGGGUCAGAAGACUGCAGGGACAUGUACAUGUAGUAUUUUUCAGAUUGUUUUUGCUAUUAUGCAGCCUAAAAACAUCCAUCAGUUUGACAUUGAGAAUGAAAUACAUAAACGUGAAGGUACAUAGCUAGGUUUACAUCCACAACUAUCUAAACAAAACUGGAAGUAACUUUUAACAUUUCACAAAAGUUACAGCUAGUACUAAAGAGCAGUGCAUCCAAAAGUAACUUUUAACAUUUUCAGUUACAUCUAAAAAAUAAGAAAAGUAACUCUUGACAUUAAACUACAUCUUUUUAACUCAUAAAAGUAACUUUCAUAUACUGAAAUUACAUCCAGCAAAAUCAAAAAGUAGCUAUUAACCCAGAAAUUACAUCAAGUUCAGAUCAAAAGUAACUUUCAUAUACCGAAACUAUAUCCAGCAAAAUCAAAGAGUGGCUAUUAACCCAGAAAUUACAUCAAGUUGAGAUCCAAAGAAUUGAAAAGGCGAGGUGAGGUGAGGCGGCGGGGAGCGAUGAUUGCGGAGGAACGAACCUUGUAAUCAAGUUCGUAGAGACUAGAGAGCGACCAGAAUGUAGACAGCAACGGUAACCUACCCCGUCCACCAUAGAAGAGGUGUUCACUGAGGAUUCGGUGGGUUGUGAGCACCACAACCAGAAGAGCAGAAGGAAGGGAUAUUAACUGCGAAAGAAAUUUCUCAUGCCAAGCUACUGCACUAGUUCAAGCAAUCAUUACGCAGCAAACUUGUCAACAAAAGCUACUGCACUAGUUCAAUGCUCGAUGCAAAAGCUAUAUCUAUCCCCGUGGUGGAAGUUCUCGAUGUAUCCCAGCGUCGCCGACCAAAAAACUGCGCCAUCAGCGUCCAACGGCGGCGGCGAGGAAGACGCCCGCGGCCAAGGAAAACGGUUUGCGGCGAGGCCGGCGAAGCGUGGCGACAGCGCGGGAGCAAGCGGAGGAGGAGAGAGGAGAUCACAGCCACGGGGAAUCAGAUCACAAGGGAAGGGAGGAUAAGGGAGGAGGAGGCACCAGCGGUCGUCUCCACGCCACAGCCGACGAGCGGAACCAGCCGGCGGAGCGCGGCCGCGCCGACGAGAGGACCAGGGCCGCCGGUGUCGGCGCUUGAGCUCUCAGCGAGAGGGAGGCGCGGGGUGAGGUCGUGAGAUGCAGGACAGAGGAGGAAUUUGGGGGCUCGGGGAAGCCAGAAUGGUGAGAGGAUAAGGUUCUUUUUUUAAAGGGAGGGGAUAAGUUUGGUCAGCGAGUGAGCACCCAAUGCGACUAAAAGGUGCGCGGGCGUGAAACAGAUUUGGCGUUCUUGUUUUUGUGCCUCUUAUUUAGUUCUCUGAACUUUCUCUUUUUCACGGUUAGGAGCCUGUGGACAUUGUUUCUCUCCGCUAAUACAUGAAAGCCAGCUUUUUGUAGGAUCCUUCGAGAAAGAAAACAAAUCAUAAAAACUUGACAUUCUUUUGGCAAACAUGGAGGGUAGGUUCUAGGUUUCUAUCUUUUUACAAGUUCUGCUACAAGCCAAAAGGCCGGCAAUUCUGUUCCAGCUUCCGGUUACAUGAUAAAGGAACAAUCAUGCAUCACCGUGCUUAAUCACCCGACGUAAUCUUGAGGUACUUGGAGAAGGCGCAGGCACGAUAGGUGGGCUCACAAUGAUCACUUUCAGAUGUAAAAUACACAAACUGUGGAGGUUUUCCUCCCAUGUUUUUGGAGGAAACUGCGGCGGACAAUUUUUCUCCCAUGUUGACAGCACCCAACCAUGUGAAAGGGGGCCCUGAGGAAUUCAUGUAGAAAACAUCAUCUUCCAUGGUGAGGGUGAGACAAGAACAGAUAAUUCUUUCCAAGGACAGAUUUCCUGCCUGCUUGUCAUCCCUUAGCUCCCAUGCCAUGGUACUAUCAGUUACCACCAUGUCAUCAGUGUACACGGUGAAGCACUCUUCCCAGUCGGCAAAAUUCGUCGAAGAAGGCGGCUUCUUCCAAGCAGUGGCCUUCCAGCAAUAAUCAUCGAUACCAUCACGGCUGGAGUUUCCAGUGUAAUCCACCUCGAUAAAGCUGAGAAAUGUUAGUCCAAUCUUGGGUCCGUUAAUGCUAAUGUUCUAGUUUGAGUCUGAUUAGGUUUGUAUGCUACACGUAUAGUAGUCCGAAUUAGACAAGGAAGUCUCUGUUUAGUCCAAGUAGGAAUCGAUUGAGAUGUGUCGUAGUCGUAGUCUGUUAGGUGCUACGCAGUUCGAGAUCAAGGUUUUGUACCGAGGAAUUAAUUUGAGAGAUAAGAAAUAAGAAAAUAGAGAGUUGACAGGUGCCUCUAGCCAAAUAAAUCGUUUGUGCAUUGCGUCUUCGUGUGAUUGAUCUUCGGACAAACCCAACGAGAAAACCCCCAAUGCAGAUGACAUCGCGGUAUUCCCGAGCAGGCAAUGUCCCGAACCGAGAUUCGUUUCCCGGCAUCGGGUCCGGCAGCUCGAUGAAACUGACCACCGGUGAUUGACAGGAUCCCCAGGAUCACCAUGCACAUUGCACACCAGGACCCCCCACCAGAGAUUCACCCAGCCGAGCGAAUCCCUUCCCACGGCUAUCACCCUGCUCGUCUGAUGCUUCAGCAGAUCAUUAAGGUCGUUCCUGCUGAUCUGACUGUCCAACCGGGCGAUCGUCCUGCUCCGUGCCUUGGCCUUGGACGAGUAGCGGAAGAGCUCGUACUCCGAAAGCCCACGGCCAGCAAUAACGGGGCUGAUUGCGGCUACCACACGUAGGAGCCCCGGCCGUCGCCGUGGGGCAGGAUGCCGGUCAUCCUUAUGGGGUGGAAGCUGUAAGGAUGGCCCGGGAGUACCUCGAGCGAGGGAUUCCCCUGGCCGGCGGCGGCGGCGCUGAAGACGAAGUAAAGCCCUGGCAUGUAGAUGUCGAAGAACAUGUAGAAGAGAACCGUGCUGCCCUCGGAGCUGACGAUGAUGGCCCUGCAAUGGUGGUCGUCUCGGGGAGCUUCGCUGCGGCGGCAGCGGACGGUGACGCGGGAGACCUCCGGCAGGGUGGCGAGGAAGAAGGAUACGGAGACCUCCACUUCCUCCUCUAGCCCCGCCAUGCGAUUCGGCUUGACGGAGACUUUGGCGGUGGUGAAAGCCGGUGACGGCGUAGCGGGGAUCUCCCGGCCGCUCAUCAAGGUGUCGAGCAUGACCCAGUCGGGGUAGCUGCUGAUUUCUACGGGGGAUGCAGCAUCCUCGCUCGCCUCCGACGGGGCGGAGGAGGAAAACAUGGUCGGAAUUUAGGGGUUGUGGUCUCGAAUCUCGAUCUCAGGAGGCGGCGGAAGACGAAGAGAACAGAGGCCGGAUUUGGGGUUUAAUAAACAGAGGUUGGAUUCUACGCUUCGGCGAAGGCCCAAUCGUAAUCGGAGUGAUUUGACCACCAAAAGCCGGCCAUGUCGGCGAAAGAAAGCCCAAUACACGGAUACAGCCCUUUCAUUUCCCGCCUAGCCCAGCAUGUGCAGUUCUUCAACCACUGCUAGGCCCAAGAAUUGCGGCCCAAACUUAGAAAACUAUCCGGCCUAGGCUGUCUCGGGCCUGAAUAUAAACGGGUCUAGCCGGGCCAAGGAACCACACACGAGCCCGACAGGGCAAUGCACAAAAAUUAAAAAAACAGAAAACUGCUAAAGGAUCGGGUCGGGCGGCCCACGUCUUGCAUUGGACCGAUUAUGGGCCUUGGUCUCAGAUCCGCGGGCCGGCACGACCCGUUUAGCCUCGUACCGGCAGCCUUUCCACAAAAAGUCCGCCCAGUGGCCAAACCCAGGUGUUGGGAUUUUACAUCCACUACCCCAAUCAAGUGAGCUAGGCUCACUUUCUGCAAGGCUACCAUUUUGUGAACUCAUAUGCUUCUAUAGAUUUUUCUAACUUUGAAUUUGUUUAUUCACACAAAAUUUGUUCAAGUUAGUGAUUGAAAAUUUUCCAAAAUAGUAAAUAUACCAGCAAUUUGCCAAAAAAAAAUCUAGGCACUUUGAAAAUCUAAGGGAGAAACUAAAUAAGUUGUUCAUUCAUAAAUAAAAAAUAUCCAAAUGAGCUGAAACUCACGGAAAAUAGCAAGAUACUAAUCCCUCCGAUUAAUAAUAAGUGUGACUGAUUUAGUGCAAAAUUGAUCAGAGGGGGUACUAUUUAUGGUUUGCUACUUUUUUUAUUUGGACACUUUGCAUUUCGAGUUCAAAAUGAAAAAAGAAAGAAAGUGGGCCUAGCUCACUUGGUUGGGCAGUGGAUGUACAAACGGAUGCGAAUUUAGGUUCCUAUUUAUACCGUAGGAUCUCCCUUACAGUUUCUUAAAAAAAAAGAGGGACAAAAAAAUAAAUAACGUGACACUAAAAAUCAAGUGAGAGAAGAAAACGUGUACACGGUGACGUGUGUCGUCACAUCAGCGAAAAUUAGUGCCUAAAACCGGUUAACUUAAGCGAGGAUCUUUUUCCUAAAACGGGUUUUGAGGGUUUUAAGGACACUUUAUUAGACCAAAGUGAAGUUAAAGUUUGUAACUUCAAAUCCGUUACAUGUUCACGGGGUAAAAUGGACUUCUCUUUUCCCAAGCCGCUCUACUGUCGCCUUCUCCUUCCUCUCUCCACACACACACACAGAUAGAAAGACAUAGACUCCAUGGCAAUGGCCUCCUCCACCUUCUUCACACUCGAAUGCUUGACACAGCCACACAGGCAGCCCUAGGUCCCCUUUCUCUUCUCUCUUCAGCCACAUGGCAAGAUCAACGGCAGCGAGCCUCGUCUUUGGAUUCCUCCUCCUGCUCUGCGCCAUCACCUGCUCAAUGGCGGCCAGCAGCGCAGGCAGCGAAGAGCAGGAGGCUGACAGGGUGGCCCACCUCCCGGGGCAGCCGGAGAGCCCAGGCGUCACGCAGUUCUCCGGCUACGUCACCGUCGACGAGCGGCACGGCAGGGCGCUCUUCUACUGGUUCUUCCAGGCGCAGGCCUCGCCCGAGCAGAAGCCCCUCUUCCUCUGGCUCAAUGGAGGUUACUUAUAUAUUAUGCUGCUGUUCUUCUUGUUGCAAUUUUUAAAUCUUUGUUUGGUUGUUAUUCCUAGUAUUUGUUAAUUCUUGGUUAAUUACUUUGGGCUAACUACUUCUUUACUACACUAGUUGUUGUGAUUGACCGUGGGCAUUAAGUAGGACUAGAGGGUACUAACUAGCUAGCCUAGAUAGGACCUCUGUUCUUGUCGUUCUUUAUGCUAUGCCAAAUAAUUCAUUUUUUGUUUCUUCUCUCUUACAGCUCUUGGCACCCCUCAUUUCAUUUCAUUUUGUCCAAAUGAAAUGAAAUUUAAUGUAGCAUGUACAUUCCUGACACCCUUCUUUCUCUAAGAAUAACACUUAAUUCUCAUGAUUUUUUGUGUGCGUAUGGGUUUGUAGGACCUGGUUGCUCAUCGAUUGGCUAUGGAGCUGCAUCUGAGCUAGGGCCUCUCAGAGUUGUGAAACAGGGACAAGCACUGGAGUUCAACAAAUAUGCUUGGAACCAAGGUGAUGUACAUUCUUCUUGCAAAUUCAAAUCCUGAUUCCUUUCAUGUUUAUAAUUUUACUUUUUUCCGGGGAACAGCUCUGAAGAUUCUUUUCUGAUUUGAAUCUGUCACUUUUCAGAGGCUAACUUGCUUUUCUUGGAGUCCCCUGCUUGGGUUGGCUUCUCCUACACCAACACAUCCUCUGACCUUAGCAAAUUGGAUGAUGACUUUGUAGGUAAAUAGAUUGUACAAAAAUAAGUUUGCUUGCCAAAAACAUUUGGAUUUAUGUUUCUAUGUACUAUUAAUUACUUAUUAAACACCAUAUCCUUUUUCUAGCGGAGGAUUCUUACAGUUUCCUGGUAAAUUGGUUCAAGAGGUUUCCUCAGUACAAGGGCAGAGAGUUCUACAUAUCAGGAGAGAGCUAUGCAGGUAACUCAACUUUACAUGAGAAGAAGAAAACUUCCACAGCAAUACUUUGGCAUUUAGAAUACAAUUUUUCAAUAAAUGCCAAAAGGAACCUAAAACAAAUAGAAGAUGCUCUGGAGCUAAAUCCAGUGAAUAAAGACAUAUUUUUGUCUUCUUAUGUCUGUGUUCUAUAUGCUUCCUUUUCCACAUUGCACUGUCUAGUCAAGAUGGUGUCACCAUCUUAUCUGAAUUCAGAAUUUCCACGGCAGAAAGUAAUCACUUAUUUGCAGAACAGAUCUAACAGCCUAUCUUCUUGCUAGAUAUCAAUUGAGUUGUCGAUUACGACAACUCAUAAGUCGGCAUUUCAAUCAAAAGCAAAUAAAUCUGGUUUCGAAGAAUAUAUGCACCAAUUUCAGCUAUUUUUUCAUGAAGUAGAAUAUGCUCAAUUCAUCCAACUCUUCAAAAUUAAGAAGCAACUCCAAUGGACAGUACUACAGAUCGUUUCGAUUACUUUGCUUGAACCAAUUUACCAAACUAUUUUCUGUAGCAAAAAUAUGGUCCCAUUUUUGUUUCAAAACGGCCAGUUGGAUCCUCAGAACUGAGUAAUGCCUCUAAAAUGCACAAGCAAUAAUGGCAACCCCCAUGUUGUGGAGCAGGAGGUGCCCUGCAGAACGUCCCAUGUGCAUUACUGCAGAUGAACUAUGAACUUCCUUGUGUGCAUGCCCUGGGCUGCAGGUCACUAUGUGCCACAACUUGCUGAUCUUGUCUAUGAGAGGAACAAGGACAAGAUGUCCAACAUAUACAUCAACCUCAAGGGCUUCAUGGUAAGAAUUUACACUGGAUCAUUCUUAUGCAAAUGUUUUGCUUUCAAAGAGAGUUUUUCAAUCACUAGGAAUAUAAUUUUCUGUUAAAAGUUAGCCUAUGUUGAUAAGACUUUUACCAACUUUGGACAAACUUUCAUGCAAACUGUCACAGAAAAGAUUCAGGUUUCAGAUAUAAGAAAUUUAGCACUGCAGAAAUGUAACAUUCAGAAUGGAUCUCUCUAUGUUGCAGGUUGGAAACCCUAUCACCGAUGAUCACUACGAUUCAAAAGGGCUGGCUGAGUAUGCCUGGAGCCACACAGUCGUGUCGGACCAAGUUUAUGAGCGUAUCAACACAAAAUGUGACUUCAAGACCUCCAACUGGACUGAUGACUGCAAUGCCGCCAUGAACGUUAUCUUUGGGCAGUACCGCGAGAUUGACAUAUACAACAUCUAUGCCCCUAAGUGCCUCUUGGAUCUGAACUCAUCAUCUUCUACAGAUCGACCAUUCUUUGUGAGUAAUCAGGUAAUGUGAUCGACAUGGGAAGAAACAGUUCAGUUCAGGCUUGAGUUUCAUCUGAAAAUUGCUCAUAAUUCAUGCAUGACAGGAGGCACAAUUCGGGAAGCGAAGACGGAUAUUUUCAGGCUAUGAUCCAUGCUACUCGUCCUAUGCUCAGGACUACUUCAACAGGAAAGAAUUGCAAAAAGCAUUCCAUGCAAAUGUCAGUGGAUCCCUUCCAGGGAAGUAUCAAGUCUGCAGGUGGAUCAGCCAAGAGCUAUCUAGUUGGAUUCUUCAUGUAUCGUAUGCAUUCUUUAUAUAGCUUAAUCAAGAACACAAUCUCAUCCAUUUCUUGUACAGUGACCCCAUCCUGAACUCAUACAAUUUCUCGGUGUUCUCGGUGCUACCGAUCUACUUCAAACUUAUCAAGGCAGGGCUGAGAAUCUGGCUCUACAGGUUUGUUCAUUUUCAACUUCUACAAAAUGAUUAUUCGACAUAAAAAAAACACUAAAAAAUGCACACUAGACCUUACACAACACCUAAACAUGCAAAUCCGUGUACUUUCGAUUUUCUCUUCUCCAAUAAGAUGAGCUUCUACCUAAAUGAUGGCUAGAUCUCAUUCCAUUUAUCGUUGCAGCGGCGAUGCGGAUGGCAGGGUACCGGUGAUUGGCUCCCGGUACUGCGUAGAAGCCCUCGGCCUACCGAUCAAGACCCCAUGGCAGCCCUGGUACCUUGAAAAGCAGGUCAGAAGCCUCUGAACAUGCUGACUGAUGUCACUGAACUGACCAACAGUAGUUGCCAGAUCGAUUCUGAAAUGUGGAAUAAAUCUUGUUGGAGAAAUGCAGGUCGCUGGGAGGUUUGUGGAAUAUGAUGGCAUGAGCAUGGUGACUGUCAGAGGGGCAGGCCACCUAGUGCCCCUCAACAAGCCAGCUGAAGGGCUCAAGUUGAUAAAUGCGUUCCUUCGCGGUGAGCAGCUUCCGACGCACCGGUGAUUCAGGGUUGAUUACCACCACAUCAGCAAUCCCAUCCCGAAAACAAGAUUUCAGCACUAAGAACCCAGGUCAGAAAGAUUAAGGUCCUGAUUUUAGGGAUUCAGAGGUUGAUGUUCAUGUCAGACUAUUACUACUAGUACUAUAAAAUAAGGUCUGACGUAAAAAAAAAAGGGUUUAAAACCGUCCUUUCUCACAAGCUUGAGCACCUCUAGUCUACAAGUUUGUACUACCUGCAUCUCCCACAAAAAAGAAAUUCCUGUACCUGCAUCGCUUCUUGGAUGGCAGAAAAGCAGGUAAGGAAAAAAGAAAGAAGAAUAAUGAACUAAACCGGCAGAUGAGCGGUGCAAACUCCGCUAACAGGAAUUUUAGCCACAAUAGGCUGUGCAAACUCUCAGCAAGAGAAAAGCUGUGAGCCAACCAUUGAUCAGAGAUAACCUACUGAAAGAAAUCCAACCAUAACAGUCAAACACACAAUUCAGAAAAUUUGCUCGAUCCAGAGGAAUACACUCACUGUAUCACAAGAAUGGAUUUUUUGCGCAAAAAGUAAGUAUCACAAUAAUGGAUUUAACAGGAAUAUACAGUCUACAACACCAUCAUAAAUAUAACACAAUUAAACACUGAAUAGCUACUAGAUGAUCACAUAAAUGAACAUCAAAUUAAAAAGUAUGCACAUGAAUAACUAGGAAAUACCUAUUGCUGUCGCCAGUCGUCAUCCUCACUAUUUCACUUGCUACAGGGCUCCAGAACCUUGAAAUCGACAGAUGAGGGGACUUUUACCACGAUAUAUCUCCUAGUAGCUUCGAGCGCUCUCUCCACUUCGACCAAUCGCUGCGAAGACCUUAUCAUCAGAGCAGACCGUAUCCAGUGUAAUGCACUUAACUGAGGAUGCAUUCUCAAGAAUAUGAUUUGUUGACUCAAUAAUGCUCUUUGCAGAGCUAAACCCAGCGAUCGUUACAUCCUAGAGGUUAUCAUGUCGGUAUCCUGAUAUCGUUCUCAAAUGCGACUGACGUCGGAGUCGUUAAGAACCGUAUCAUGUCGUACGCCAUCUUGCGCUACCUGCAAAGAAAUAGUAUCAAUGUCACUGUACUCUACCAGAGAAAUAUUUCUAUGCAAGUGAUCAUAAAGAUCUAGCAUAUCUUCACAAGUGCGGUCACUAAAAGGAGAAAACAAGAAAUUGAUGUCCUGUUAAACUUGCAGUAAAGCAUUUGCUCUUGGCCGUGAAUGCAAGAAUAUUCCCAUGGUGUCAUACUUGUAAUGUAGUAUUUAGCUGUGUUUGAAAGCAGAUACCAAAAUAAUAAUUCAGGUAUCUAUAAUUCAUUUUGCACAAUGUUUUAAGAAUAGUAACAACAAAACUAACCAAUUAAUCAUACCAUUCUUACUAAGUGCCCUCAAAACUCAAAGAUACUUCGGUUAGUUUCAUGGUUUCACUAUUGGUGACUUUGAGAGAGAGUGACUCACACGCAAGAUGAAAGUCUCCAAUGCAGGAGAAACAUCUAAGAAAUGAAUAAGAAGAAAUCAUAGCUGUGGAUCAAGCUCCUUGAUCCACAAAUAUAAAUACCCAAGUACUUCAGGUGGAGGAACUUGCUAGAGACCGUUGGUGUACUGAUUGCCUGAAAAUGAGAUGCCUCAGGAAUUAAUCAUGUUCCAACAAUAUACAUAUUACAUGCAUAUCACUAGCCAGAGGAUAUUUUCGAAGUUUAAAAUCAACUGGAUAGCACAUACAAAAUAAUGCAUACCGGCCUCAACAGCUGAUGACACGUGAAGAGUUUCAACAUUUGGCAUAAUAGACAGAAGCUCCGUGCAAGCAUAAUGGACCAGGUUGUCUUGAAGGAAAGAACCACAUAUAUGUAUUAUUUUAACUUGCAAAGGAUCACCAAGAGAGAUAGGCAUUUCAGUUGGCCCAUAAAUAAGAGUGGAGAGUUUUGGAGCAUUGAUCUCAAUCACCUGUAGCAUUUUACAUCCUGCCACCUUAAGAUAAUAGAGCUGCUGCAUCGAGCAAGGUACCUUCAAGGAGAGAUUAUAUCAUUGCAAGCAUAAAUUGCUAAUUGCUCCAAAGCAAAACAACUGGAAACAAACUGCCCUAACUCCUCCCCAGAACUGUGGACUGACCACACAAGCUUCUGUUGCAACAAAGAGUGACUGUAGGAUGAAAAGUGCGAGAUGAGAGGCAAAGAGUUCUUAGUGUCCCUCCUAUCUUAUUGGACAAACAUGAGAAAGGGAAGUUGCAUGUGUCCUCUCUUCGCAUGAAGACAUGCAUAAGAUAAGUUAUUCAAUCCCAUGUUUGACAAUAGAUUCGAACCAUCUGUCAAGAUUAGAGGCCAUGAUACUGGGACAGCCACACAGUUCAAGUCUGAGCACCUUCGUCCCAAUGCCAGAAUGGUUUUUAAGCAUGUGAACAAUUUUGCUGACGACAUAGCUUUCUGUGUCAUCCAGUGCACAUGCUUCAUCCAUAUGAAGCCAUCUCUUGUUCAAACCUAGUGAUUGGUUAUUGAAUAUGAGGCUGGGAUGGUAUCUCCAGGAACUUUUAAGUCCAUUACACACGCAGGCAGCAUGGGCAGCAUCUAAGCAGUGGAAUGAGGGAAUGUAUGUGACACAAGAUUUCCUGCGAGAACAUGGCCAAAAUUCAAUGUUCAGAAUGCAAUCAACCAAUAGUAAUGCUGAGUUCGCUUGGAAUAAACAGUAGGGCGAGAGUACUGAGUUAUUGCUGCACAUACUUUGCAUCAAGACACACAUCACAGAGAGAAAAACGUGCAUUAAUUUUACAUUUUCUAGGAUCUUUUGGCAAUAAAAUUGCAUUCAUAAUGAAGACCAUGGUAGUUUAAAUGGACCAGAGGAUGCAAAAUUUGUUAAGCUGGUGGUAUUGGAAAGAUAAUAAUGUUAUUAUGUAGAGCAGGAGACAUUUUGUAGAGGAAGCCAAGUGCAAAUAGUAAAGAUGCAGUACAAUUCGAAACAGAAUACUUUGAAAUAAAGAAAUGGUGAAAUGGUUGGUGAUUUCUUUACUCUUAUAAAAGAAGCAAUUGGUGACGGUUGUCCGUCACCUAAGUCUUUUUCCCUAAUAAUAAAAGCAGGAAGGUUUCCUUCGUCGUCGUCCGCCAUGCAUCAAUUUCCGUGCCUAUCCUGAUUUUCGUGUCUCCUUACACUCCAUCGGAUCUUCCUUUGCCUAAAAGCAGGAAGGUUUUCUUCAUUGUCGUCCGUCAUGCAUCAAUUUCCGUGCCUGUCCUGAUUUUCCGUGUCUCCUUACACUCCAUCGAAUCUUCCUUUUUCUAUUCCCACAGCGCUGCCUUCCCGGGCCGCCACCGCCGACUCAACUGCCCGCGCAGCACCUCCCUGCGGUGACCGCUCUGGAUACGCGUCGGCGCCGGAUUAGAUUCCCGUGCAAGAGACGAGCAAAGGGGUCCAGGGCUGACCGGCGCUAUCCACCGCCGUGCGGUUCCUCGUGCACUGUGCCACCGCGUGCUCCGUGACCUUCUUCUGACGCCAGCCACAGCCGGCGGGCGGCUUGGACUGGGUGCCAUGUCCGUGGCCGCGACUGCUAGCAUCAACCCCGAGAUCAUUUUGAUUGAAUGUCCAAUUAUAUUGUUAUGUUUUGUAUAAACAUGAAUUUUCGCGUGCACAUGUUUAAGAGGCCGUGGCAACGCACGGGCACUGUACUAGUCUAUUGUAAAAAAACUUAUCACCUCCUUCUAACGCAAACAAUUAAAUCUAUUACAUAAUCAAGAUAGGGGUGAUGUUUUCCAUCAAAACCAAGAUAAAAUUACUAGCAAGUGCCAUUUAUAUAUAAUAGUGUUUUUUAUUCCAGCCAGCAGUCUAAUAUGUUUUAUCCGUGACAACGCAUGUGUAUUCAACUAGUGUUAAUAGAUUCCCCAUUUAGCAAAUGUAGGUUCACCACCAGACUCCUACAAUACAAAUGCAUCCAGUGCUAGCAAUUUCAAAAAAUACUAUUCUUGUCAUAGAGUAUCUCAUUGUUGGCAACCAACACGCGCCUCAGGAAGUUCGCCAAGUGUCGGUCCUCGCCUCCUUUUUUUUCCGGACCUUGCGGAAAACUGUCACCCGGUUUGCAGGAUGCAUCAGUUAUUCUUUUGUCCUUCUUUUUCUGUUGAGCCCUCAUUUUCAUAAGAGAAACGAACACCCAACAUUAGUGACUCGUAUUUGCUAAUGUACUCCAGAUUUUCUACAAGAAAAGCACCUAAUUUCAGUAAGCCAGUUGCCCAGUUUAGGUUAUAGUUGAAUAACCAGCACAACUCUACGCAAGGAUCUCAUGUUGGAACCAAGUUAAAUUCGAUAAGACGGCAGAUCGAGAAUCUAGGUGUUGAGGGCCUUACUCUCUCGCAGCCACUGCUGCGUCCUGCAAAUGGCAGUCUGAAUCCCCAUGGUUGAUGGAUCUGCUGCUCCUGCUUCUGCCAGGGCUCUGAAGGAAGCCGUAGGGGCCAUCGAAGGCGGUCGAGCGGGCGCGAGAGCAGAGGAGGAGACCCCGCUGGCAGAGCGCGGCAAGGAGCCAAUCCGAGGCGCCCUAGAUUUGUUUCUCCUCUGAACUCUGGAUCUCCCUGGACCUUUUUGCGUCGCUAGUUCAGAAACAGGUCCGGAUCGGCGCCCCGUUCCUAAUUUGGUGGUGGUUUCUUCCCCAGUGCACCUCUCCGGCCAUGGCGCCACACCGCCGCCGCAGAAGAACGGGGGGUCGUCAUGCGACAGGAAGAGGAAGGUCACAAAUAUGAAGGAAAAAUAACUUUCAACUAUUUAGGCCCAAUUUUCGACCAAAAUAAAAAAAAAGUAAUAACACCCGCGAACUUGAGACGUGCGGACAUUUUCGUUAAAAAACUUGAAAAAUGAGGUUAGGUGGGUCAAAACUUGUAUUGUGAAUUCACUUUUGAUUAGAUGCGCUUCCGGACCGUCAUGUGUCUGGCUAGAGUGGCAAAGUCGUGCGCGGAGGGCUUGGUUUUCAAAAAAAAACUUGUUUCUCAUCCCGACGCGGCGAGGGAGGAGGCCAACGGCAUGGUCAACAUUGGUGGGCCUGGGUCGAGCCGACUGGCUGCUCACGGUGGUGGUGGUCUCGGCCGCAUAACGGUACGUCGCCGGCAUAGAGUGGGCGACGGUGACCGGAGAAGUUUACUGGGCGCCACCGUGGUCGUCUAUGAAGGUUAGUGCUUUGAAUCCAGUCUUGUCUUUGUCAAGUUGGUUCAAGUGCACCGAUGAUGACCAGCGCCAUGAUUGGAAAGAAGGAGAAGAUUUCGGUAUAUGAAGAGGUAUGGGCUGGAAUGUAAACUAGGAAGAAAAUAGGGAAAUUUUUGCAAAAUUUCAUUCGUCUUAUAUUGCUUGGGGAUGAGAAAGAAACUGUAUUUGGAUUGAAGGGACUAAAAUAAAAAAAAAAUGCAAACUGUCUUCCUGAUCACAAAAAUCCUGGAGCCCUGGAUGGGUCUUUGGGAAUUGUAUGGGGUUCCGUUCCUGUUCCUCUCCAGGAGUUUGCACCGUAACUCUAAACUUGUUUCAUUGAUGCUUGUUUUCUUCGAGAAAACGCGGAAGUUUCGCGUCUCAAUGCAUGUAUAUUAUUAAAAAGUGUUAUGUACAAGUCCGAGAGGAUAGUGUCCUGAGAUUACAAAGAUACACGACUUCCAUCGGGAAGAACGCUCGAAGCCCAACCGUCCCUGCUCGGGUCCAAAGCCUAGCAUCAACCUUGGUCUGAUCGGCAAGGGCAAUAUUGGGAAUCAAUUGUCGAAGACGUCCGCGUUACCAUGCUCUCAGAUCCACUAUCCAAUGGGACGUAAACAUGAUGAACGGUGCAAUGUCCUUCUAACCGUGGAAGGGGCGGAUGGUUCCCACCAAUCUAUAAACGUAGUCAAUUUUUUUUUUUAAAAAUUGACUUUAGGACAAAAGUAUUAGUAUUUAGCAAGGGAGGUAUCCUUUGUUGUUUUAGUUAUUUUCACCUAUUUUUAAACUAACCUGCUUUGGGCCGAGUUUCUCGGAAAAACAAUAGUUAUGGUUCAUUUCAUUUUUAUUAGCAUGCCGAUUCUUUUUUUGUUUAGGGGAGCAUGCUGAUUCUUUUUUCGUCACGAGUAGUUCCAAGCAAACGUUUCUUUUUGGAGAAACAGUUCUAAGCUUUAGCCCACUUCCUUUGAUGUUACGUCAAAGAAAUGUUGGCUUACCGCUGAGCGCUGACCGAUAAGAACAUGCCUUACGAAUUUUUUUCUAGGCCUGGUUUUUUCAUAACUCUGCAGGAAGAUUCGAUUUCCUUAUAAAAUUGGUGGUUGGCUGGUUGCAUCUCUUGCCAAGAAAAACAGGCAAAUAUUGGUAAGGUUUUAUCCCCAUUGCCUGGCCGCCCACUUCAUUUUUCUUGCCAAGAAAAAGAGGGGAAAAAAUGGCAAGGUUUCAUCCCCUUUGCCUCGCCGCCUACUUUAUUUGUUGCCAACAAAAAGGGCCAAAAAUUGGUAAGGCUUCAUCAUAUUUGAUGGCCACGUACUUCAUUUUUUGCCAAGAAAAACAGAUAAAAAUUGGUAAGGUUUCAUUCCCAUUGGCUAGCCACCGACUUAAUUUCUUGCCAAGGGAAAACAGAAACCUUUUGAAUUUUGAAGGAUGUCAAAUUUCGGUAAUGUUAAAUUUUGGCAAGACAUUAUGUGGCUUUUUGAGCACAGCGAAAAUACAGAAAAGAAACCACUAAAACUAUUACCGCAAAUCUUGUUAAAAAGGGAAUCAACAAACUGCCAAGAUGUCAAUCACGGUGGUUCCAACUACGUGUGCUGCUUUUUCACUAUAUAUAUUAUUCCAGUAUCUCCGGACAUGAGACCGUAGACUAAUGCCGAGGCCGUGCCAUCCCAAGUAUCUGCCCCCAUCUUCCUAGCCACAUGUUUGGGUUUCCCUCCCCCUCUCUCUUAAUUAAUUUCAUAUACUUUAAAUUAGAUGGGGUUUAAUACUUUGACCACCGACAACUUUUGCUUUUCUCUUUCUCUCUCCCCCUCACUUUUAAGUACAUUUUGGUACAUGAAAUGUUUUUAGGUACAUAUUUAGUACAUUAUGGUAUAUGAACUGUACCGUAUCAGUUUUUAAAUAUCUCGUGUAAUGAACUUAUGAUACAAGUACAUCGUAUGGUACAUCACAUGUAUCUUAACAGUUUUUAAGUACCUCAUGCACAUAACAGAUACAUUAAGGUAUAUGACAAAUACAUGAAGGUACAUCACAGAACAUCAAGAUACAUGAUAGUUCCUCAGCUCGUACAAUUAAUAAGUAGCUCAUCAAUGAUAAAUUACAUCACGGUACACGAUAAGUGCCUCCUCAAUUCUCAAUGGAGAAAAAAGAAGAAGAAGAAAUAAUCGAAGUAAGACUUUGUACAUCAAUUCAUAACAAUACAUUGUGUACUAGAACAAAAUCACAGUACCAAUAAUCAACGAAACACGGUACCAAUCAUCUAACAUGGAAAAAAAGAAUCGACGCGGGGUAUAUCAUGUACCAAGACAAAAUCACAGUACAAACAAUCAUCAAAACACAGUACCUUAUGGAUCUAACAUAGAAAAAAAGAAUUGAAACGGGGUACAUCAUGUACCAGGCCAAAAUCACAACACAAUCAUUCAUAAAUACCAGUACCUCGUCAUGUACCAUGGGUACAUGAUGGUACUCAAAAAUCACAGUGGCACAUCAUCGUGUAGACAAGAAAAAAGUAGCUCAAUCCUCAAUCACAAUAAUCAACUGGUGAGUGAAGGCGUCCCAGAUGCAAGAGAUUUGGCCCAACCCCAAAACAGUUUGAAAACCCGAUGCAUCGGGAGCUCGGGGCGGCGCCCAUGCGCUGGAGGCCGGGAUUGCGGCGGAUGCAGGUGCGGGGGCGCCUGGGACGGGGGCCGGGGGGUCGGCGCGAGCCAGGGCGGCAGCGAAGCCCGGGACGGGGGCCGGCGCGGGCCGGGGCGUUGGCGGAGCCCGGGACAGCGACCAGCACGGUCUGGGGCGGCGGGGGAGGUCGACUCGAAGGCCGGCGGCGGCCGAGACGGGGGCACUGGAUCCGCCAUGCGGGAGGAGAAGAGGACGGCCUCGCGGAGAGACAGAGAGUCGCGAGAGAGAGACAUGUGAGAGACUCCCUGCUAAUUAGUAUACUGCCAGAUGAUUAAGUGGAGGUGAAGGACAGAUGCGUGGCCACGAAGGUGGGGGUAGAUAGUUGGGGUGACAUCGUGUGAUUUGGCACCGUAGACCCGCAGUUUGGAAGCUGCUGCCGCACCCCAUAAUGUUCCUCGUCUAUGUGCCGCUUCCCUCACAUGAUGACAAUGCGGUGAUGGAUGUGGCAUGAGCACCAUGGAUCUUCUCAGACGACUCUGCCUCGUCUCGCUGAACUUCGGCCCCCAUGCAAUUGCAAGAGCUGCAACACUGUGCCGCUGCGGCUGUCCUUGUCAUCUGUCUUGAAUGACAUACAUCAGGUGCAGGCCUUGGUGCACCCCAGCCACGCCACAUCAUCCUGCUGUGAAAAUGUGUGCAUGGCCCAACCAUGCUAGUGUCGCCAUCCAAUUCUUGUUUCAUUGGUCGAAAUUGCGAAAUGAUGGAAGAAAUUUUUCAAUAUGUUGGGAAAAUAUAUCAAUUUCACUAGACACAGACUGAAACAAAAUUUAAUUGCAAAAGAAUCAAAUUCUCGAGCUGGCGAAACAAAAUUCUUACCUACCGUUGAGCUAAAUGUCCAAUGCAUGGUGGUGGGCACCCACGAGACACCUCGACUCGAAAUCACUAUUAAAUAUGCUAUGUAACAUCAUUUGUCAUUGUCGUUAAUUUUGCAAUUGUGUGUCUAAGGUGGGUAAUGUUGAAAUUUCUCAUCGCAUGUUUCAUAAUUUCUUUGAGAAACCACAGUGUGAAACCGCUUAUUCAUUAAAACGAACGAGGAUCUUUAUAAUUUUUUUAUUGACAUAAGUAGGGACAUUAGUUUUCGGAUACGUGCCGAAAACUUGACAUGCGACAAGCAAAUGCUCUUAAGUGGACCCCAAUAUAUAUAGCCCAUUGACCUAAAGCCGAACAACUCCACGAAGACCACCUCUCGGUAUAUAUAUCCCUUCUUGUUAUGGCUCCUUACCUCCCCUUUUCCCGCCUCCUCCGCCGCCGCCUAUGCUUGCAUCAAGUGUUAAGACAUCACCGCACCUCGAUCCAGCUAUAUAUACUCUAAGCCUAGGGGUCCAGUUACUUGGCACACUGCACCGCCUAUGUGCCAUUAGCUCAUCACCGUCAACCACUCAAUCUCGCCGUCGCUGGUGAGUCUCUCUCUCUCUCCCCCCCCCCUCUCCCUCUCUCUCUUGUUUUCUUCCUCCUCCUUGCUCUUUUCCCUUCCGUCACGACACUUCUUCCUCUUCCUUCUUCUCUUUCCCUUCCGUCGUGACGCUUAGUUUACAAAUAGAUGCUGACGUGGUUAUGACUAACCACGUACUCGACUCGAGUAUACCCGUUACGGCCCAGCCGGGGCCCCACAAGGAAGCCUACCACGACUCCAGGAAGUCUACAUGCCAAAUCUUGUGACUCAAGAUAAGGAAGCUUAAUUAGAAUAUAUCUCCUCAUUGUAACCGACUUGGACUCUACCUUAGACACGGGUUACUGCAUAUAUAAAGGACCAGGAGGGAGAGCCAAGGAUCCUCAACUUAGCUAGAAGCCGCCUAGACGCACUCCCCAGAUCGAAUCUGUGCAUCUAGCCUCCGCAGUAACCCAUUGUAAUCGACUCAUCAAUACAAAAUCAGACUAGCAGGACGUAGGGGUAUUACCUCAUAGAGGGCUCUGAACCUGGGUAAAUCGUGUUCUCUGUGUCCUUGUUAGCCGACGAGUUCGCCAACACAUACACUCGAAAUCUUUCCUAGAUACAAGUCCACCAAUAUGGACAUUGUCGAAAUCACAACUUCGUCACAUGCCUCGGAAAACCUAAUAUGCGACAAGCAUUUGCUCUUGAGAGUGAACCCCACUAUGGUCUGUUGACCUAAUACGCUAACAAAACUGAAGAACUCCCGAAAGUCCACUCUCGGUAUAACCCUCCUCGCAGUGACUCAUGAUCAUCUCUCCCUUUUUAUGCCUCCUCCUUUGCCCUUGCUACAUCAAAUGUCAAGUCAUCAACGCAACUCGAUACAGUUGUACUCUAAGCCUAGGGGAGCUAAUUACCUGUCAUACCACCGACAUGCCACUAACUUAUCGCCAUCAACCACACAACCUUGCCAUCGCCAGUCAGCACCUUCCUCCCACACUUCCUCUCUUUCUUUCUUUCUUUCUUUCUCUCACUCUCUCUCUCUACAUUUUUCUUUGAUCUUUGUUUCCUUCUGUUGUGGCGCUCCGCUUCUUCCUUUUUUUUCCAUUCCGCCGCAAUGCUUAGUUUGUAGAUACGUGCCUCGGAAAAAACCGACAUGUGAUAGGCAUCUGUUAUUGUGAGUGGACCCCACUAUGGUUUGUUGACCUAACACACUAGCAAAACCAAACAAGGCCUCGGAGACCGGCUCUCAGUUUAUCCAUUCUCGUAAUGAGUCCUCACCUCCCCCGUUUCCCGCCUCCUCCUUCUUCGCUCAUGCUAGCAUCAAUUGUCAAGCCAUUAGCACGCUUGAUCCGGCUAUGUUUUGGAGAGCUAAUUACAUGUCACACAGCCCGUGUGUCACUACCUCAUUGCCGUCGACCACUCAACCUCUCCAUCGGCCGUCAACGCUUCUCUCCCGCUCUUCCUUCCUCUCAUUUUCUCCACCUUCCUUCAUCUCUUUUCCCUUCUACGGUGACGCCACACUUCUUCCUCUCCCUUCCUCUCUUUUCCCUUCCGCCGUGGUGCUGCGCGGUAAGACCAUCCGUCACUGGAUUCUACGAUUAUAGAUAAAAAAAUUCACUAGCCUUUUUACAACUUCAUCUUCUCCCCGAACUUCUCUAACUCCCCAACAAGGACCAGAAAAUCGCCCAAAAUGCAAAAUCCGUAAAAUCUCCCAACCCCGUGUCCAAGGUUUUGAUUUCUAUGCAACGGUCAUCGUCGCCAGCUAUUCCUCAGCUCAUUGCAUCAAUGGUGAGUAUUUACAAGGCUAGCUGCCACCUGACUCACGAGCCAAAACCCCGAAUCCGGGCGUAUUUCAGUAGUCUCACCAAACCCCGGUUAUUCUCUCCCAAGCCACAAAUUUCCAAACGCCCAAACCCCGAGGGAGGAAGCCUCAACUCGAGCUCUCCUCUCUCGUCCCCGUGCGCAGCGCAUAGUGGACUGCUCCUCCUCCUCCGAUUCCCUCGUCUCCGCCGUCGGCAUUUGCUCUUCAUCCAUCUCCUUCCCCGCGAAUCGCGCCGCGCCGGCCGCCGACGCCGUCUGUCGGGGCCACGGCGAGGCGCCGCCGCCGCCUGCGGCUUGUCGGCGCCCCCUGCCGUUACCGUUAGCGGACUGCGCCGGGCGCGGCGAGGAUUGAAUUCUUAUUUUCGCCGGCGAGAAACCCUAGCUUAGCGUCAACCUUCGCCUCCGCCGUGCUCCCCUGCUCCUCCCAGGUCAGGAGCUUGCUGUCUGUUAUCAGAGAAGUUACUCAAGGUUCAGAACACAGUCCGACAAAAGAGGUUCAGAACACAGGGGAACUUGAAAAGGGCGGCGUCUCCCUUCCCCGCCCCGCCGUCCACCUCCCGCUGCUCGUCCAAGGCGUCAGGGCGCCGCCGCGGCGGUCAUCCGACAUGUCUGAGUGGUAAGUCGCUCCCCUUUUGCACCUGUAGGCAAUCAUUCAGACGAUGGUCCGAAAAGUUUCCACCAGCCGUGGUAGUUGCCCCGUGGUGUUACAGCGUCAGCAUAUUAGUUGUCUCCUCGUGUUCCUGUUUUCCUAACAAUGUCUGCAGAAAAAUGGUGUUCCAUCGAGAUGUUUUUUCUUGUACUAACGAUUUAGAAUCUGUCCCCUUUGUGCGUCAUCAUCUACUUCUGUCAGUAUGACAUUUUUUUUAUGUGCAGGACGGAUGGGCCAAAUAAUGAAAUGGAUGUGCCUAUGGCUGAGCUGAAAGCCUUGAAAUUUGAUCUCUUGUCCAGUGCAGAUAUAGUAAGCUUUUAAUUUGCCUUGACUAAUUUUACGCGGGAAAAGAGAUACGUACUUAAAACUUAUAUAUAGGCAUUUAUGCAUGUGGAUGUAGUUUUUUAUUUAUCGGACAGCUUAAUUCUCCAUUCAUUACUUCAUGUUGGACGGGCGUAACAAUUUUUACAUUCCAGGAGACGUUAAGUAGCGCAAACAUCAUAGAGGCAUCUGAUGUGACUAGUGCCAAGUUGGGAUUACCAAAUGCGGCACCACAGUGUGUGACUUGUGGAUCGCAAAACGUGCGUGACUGUGAUGGUAAGUAACUGUUAAGCAUUCAGUAUCGAAUGAUGUGGUUUAUGUUCCUGUUUAAUCCAAAAAUAAACUGACUUGUCAAAUUAUUAGGUCAUUCUGGUGUGAUUAAACUGCCGGCAACUGUGUACAGCCCAUAUUUUUUGGAGCAACUCGUUCAGUUCCUGAAUCAGAUAUGCCCUGGCUGUUGGACUCCAAAGCAAAACAGAGAUACAAAGGUUUGUAGUCACCAGGUUAAACUAGUUUCAUUCUGAAUAAGCAAUUUAGUCUCUUCUAUAAAAAUUUAUAGGUGUCAUAUUCUAAGGGCUGCCGCACUUUCAGACAAUCAGGUCCUCUGUCAAGAGCUGUCAUUAAUAAGAGGUUCAACUAGUGUGGGGCUAGCAAGUCCUGCAUACAAAACAAAAGGCCAUAAAACAACUACUAAUACCACUAUCAUUACUAACACAACUUUUCUUACAUGCUUGACACAUCUUUAACACUGGUAAUGUGUAGACCAAUUUUUAUACUACUUAAUGGCAUGCCUGUUUGAUCGUUUGGAAAUUGUGGGACACAAUAUUUACAUUCCAAAAGCCCAUGUAGAAGAUAUUUAAGGGAUAGUAGAAGCACUUGACUUGUUGUAGGUUUGGUGCCAUAUUUCUUUCUCUAACAUGUUGAUUUUGUUGUUGUUGUUAAAGAGGUCAGACGCAGCAACCAUUCAAGAACCUUGCAAGUAUUGUUCAGUAAGUGCAUGUUCAGAUGAUUUGGUUCAUAUUUCUCCCCUGUUGUAAUGUUGUAUUAAACCUCGAUCUUCUUUUACUGUACAGAAGGAUGGACUUUAUCCUAGUGUAAUAUUUAAGGUGCUAACAAGUCCAAGAAUAACACUGUCCAAGAGUAAACUUCAACGUAACACUAGCGUGAUGGACAAAGUUUCAGUUACCGCAGAAGUGAUAAACAUGUCCAAGAAUAAAAGUUCACUUGAAGUUCUUCCCCACGACUAUUGGAAUUUUGUACCUCACAACCAGCCACCUCAACCGAAUACUACCAAGAUAUUGCUAUCUCCAUACCAAGUAAGUAUUAGCUAUUUAAUUUGAGGAUGUCCGGUGUUGGCUUGCAUACUAGAUUUGGUGCAUCUUAUUUAUUUAUUUUUCAAACGAAAAGGGCAAGCAGCUGACCGUAAUUAAUAAAUUUGUCUUAUGAGUUAUGAUUAAGUCCAUGUUUCCUUUAUCGUAUUUGCAGGUCUUUCACAUACUAAAACAAGUUGACCUUGAGCUUAUCACCAAGUUUGCUCCAAGGCGAGAGCUACUGUUUUUGUCAUGUUUGCCAGUGACUCCUAACAGACAUCGUGUUGCUGAGAUGCCAUAUAGGUUUUCAGAUGGCCCUAGCUUAGCUUAUGUAAGUGGCACCUCUAUUUGGUGAAAUUAUUACCCAUGUUUCUUUCUUGUUUCAUCUCUUCUGUUAUUUAUAACCACUUCCCCCUUAUAUACCUUUUCAAAAUGUAACCUAACCUUACGUAUGUUGGAAAGAUGUAAAUUUGCCAAUGAGUCAACAAACAUUCAUCUAAUCAACGAGAAAACUCAGGGAAAUUAUUCUACAUCUUUUGGAUGGUUCUUCAUGAUUAUAUCUGAAAUAUAUUUUUGCACAACUUGUUGCCAAGUAGAGAUAGUAUUUUCUUUGGCUUCCUUGUAGAUUUGUUAAGAAUGCAAGUUAGUGUCUAGUGAUAUGAUGCACAUACUCUACCACAUAUGUGGACCAUGUUUGUGUCUCUUACAUUUUUGUUCAUUCCAUAUUUGGAGGCAGGAUGACCGAACAAAAGCUUAUAAGAGAACGGUUGAUGCCAGUAAGAAAAUCGAUGACUACCGUCAGCAUCCACAGUUCAGUGUUCUUGCAAGUUCAUUUGUAACAAGCCGAGUUAUGGAGUGCCUGCAAUCAUCAAAGGCAAGAAAUCAAAUAUCUUGUUUAUUAGAAUAUCCUUCUUGCAUGAUUGUAUAUGUUCUCUUGCAAUAUCCACAUAGUAUGAUGCACGUUAUCCUGCUAAUUUCCCUAGUACUAUAAGAGUGGUGUAUCGUUAGGCAAGGACAAAAGUAUAUAUUUGAACAAUUUCAAUAAAACACACACACACACACACCCAAAAAUGUGUUAAUUCUCUGUCGCAAUGGAAGUAAACGACCCAUUAGCUUAUGUGAAUGUUACUAUUAAACCAUUAUAACGGGCUUUUUGAUUUGGUUCUAAAUGGUAUGUUUUCUCUGAAGAAGUUCGUGUUAUUUUGUUCCCUCAUAAGCACAUGUAGUUACAUACAUGAUAUUUGUGUCGACAAAAUGCAUUUCAGUGGAGACUACAAUUUACCGUAAUUUUUUGUUUCCACUUAUGCCCACCCCCUCUUUUUGCCAGGUUUCCAUCUUUGAAGAUGUACUCAGUAGUUGACUUACAUAGAAUGAUACACAAAUUCUUCUAGCACUUUACCAGAUUGUGUUGGAGAAUAGCGUAUGCACUAAUGAUGGAAACUACGUUAUGCGGAUACUAAAAUAAGUUUUCCAAAUCAGGGGUGGGUGCUGACCUGAUACUCGUGUACGUCCAGAUACUCCUGACACAUCCUGCACAUAUUGGAGAAUUUCCUACUUUUUAGAAAAGAAAAUACCAAUGCUUCUUGGUUACACUGUGAUACAUCUAAACCCUAAAUUUUUGAUCCAGAAAAGAAAACCUUUCUGAUCCCAACCAUUGCAUUACCCCCUUCCUCUCCAGAUCCAAUGCCCCCACAGCUCACUAAGGCGGUGCCUAAGGCUGUCAAAAUUAUUCGAGCUCAAUGGCCUGCUCAAGCUCGGCUUGCCAUAGGAUCAGCUCGAAUCUCUAAUGAACCAAGCUCAAGUCUGUCGUGAAGCUCGCGAGCUUAAUCGAGCUGAUCUCGAAUAGUUCGUUGAAGCCCGAGAGGUCCAACUUCGUGCUUAGGAUCCCCGACCUGAGAAGUUGCCUGCCCUCAUGUUUCAACUUUUCCAGGCCCAACUGCACAAAUCCCAUUUGGUGGAGGCCAAUCCAUCCCAGACCGAAGCCGCAUUAUCUGCCAGCUGUAAUUCCCCUCUUAGUUACAGCCCGUUUAAUGUGCAAGGUUGCAGGAAAGGUCACAUGUUAUUAGUCCCACCUUGCCUAGCGACAGAGUGCGUUGCUGGCGCACCAGCUAUAAAGAGUAAGGCUCGGGGUGGAUCUCAUCUGAAUUAAGGUUUGUGCUGGCUGCAUGUCAGUUAGAUGUAAAAAAAUUGUUCAACAUUCCUGAUCGUUGGCGAGUCAUUGAGCAUCGAGGAGUCGAGAUCAAGUCAAGUUUUGGGCUUGGGAGCCAGGCUGUAUUCGCCCUAGUGCUGCCGCUUCCAGAUUGAGCACCGCGCUCAAGAAGAAGCCAUGGUGAGUCCCUUGUCCUUUGUUUCCGGGUAUCCUUACCUUGAUCUAGAUCUGCUUGUCGUUUGGAGGAGUUGCUUCUUCUUGGCUGUCUUGUGGGUUUUAAACCAUGGUUUUUGAGUCGCCAACUAGUUGCCGACUACUCACCGAGCCGGCACAGUGAUGGAGGCUUUCAGCCGCAACUCGAUUAGCAGAGCAAGUCGCGCGGCCCGUCGGCUAGAUCUGGGACUUCUCUGACUAGCCGCCGCGACUAGGAAUGCCGCGACCCCCCAGGCAUUAGCAUUAAGAAGAAGACCUUCUCACGCAGGUCGAGAAAUCCCCGAACCCCUGCCCUGCCUAUACACAGCGACAACGUAGCCCGUGUGAGACCGGGCCAGGCCUUAGGCCUGUGCUUUAGGCGUUGGACAGACAAGGGGAUUUUUUAACCGAACUCAGGACCUGAGUGCUACUAGAGCCACCUAACCACUACAGCUGGGGCCCUUUCGCCUUUCCUGUGGGUUUUGUACAUGAAGCGGGUCAAUAACAGAGUCGGUUUUACUGAAACUAGUCAUCACCGUUUAGGACGUGUUAUGGAGAGAGCUAUAGGAGACAGAAAAUGUGCGAUUCGGAUAUUAUAUAUACAUAUUGGUGUUUCUGGAAAAAUGGCAUAUCGACACAUCACGAUAUUCAUGUGCGUAUACUUAUCAGGGUAUCCAGACAACCUAGAUUGAAAAUUUUGUUCGAUCUUCCACCUUGAUAUGCAACCCUCAAUAAAGUGAUUGAAAGCAUCUUAUAGAAAAAUUAUGAGUCUUAUUUUCCCAAUCCCCACUCAAAUUUAAUUCAGUUCAUUUUGAAAGCUGAGUAAAUUUCUUGUGAAGAAAAAAAAAGGAUGAGUAUACAAGUUGCAGUAAAAGAAAGUGAACUUUGUAAAAAUAAAUAAAUAAAUAGAGAACACAUGAACAAGAUUUUGCAUACCUUUUCAUUAAGAGGAAAACGUUGUAACUUUCUAAAGUUUUUGCAUGACAAACAAUAUAUUUGUUCUAUCUUUAUGGCUUUCAAGUGAUAAUUGAUAUCUAGUUAUCUUACAUUAUUAGCUGUCGCACAGAAAAAGGAAAUUAGUUUUAAACUUCGUAAUUAUGUCGCACGUUCAUGCUUUCAUUUGAUUCAUUAACAUGUUUUUGUCUUUUAGCAGUUAUACUCUAAAAAGACAGAUAAGGAAUCAUCAACAGACUCCUAUGGAACUUCGGUAAAAAAAAACGACUCAUAUGGAACCAAAUGGCUGAAGGAUGCCAUUCUCAGCAAACGAUCCGAUUAUGCCUUUCGGAGUAUUAUGGUUGGUGAUCCUAAGAUUAGGUUACAUGAAAUUGGCAUCCCUAUGGAUUUAGCUGACUUGUUUGUUCCUGAGCAUGUUAGUAUUUACAACUUCAAAAGCAUAAAUUUGAAGUGCAACCUGCACCUUCUUGCCAAAGAACUACUAAUUGCUCGUCGCAAUGGAAAGCUCAUUUAUGUUCGGAAGGAAAAUCAGCUAGAAAUUGGUGACAUUGUUUACAGGCCAUUGCAGGAUGGUGAUCUUAUUUUAGUCAAUAGGCCGCCUUCAGUACAUCAGCAUUCCCUUAUUGCACUAUCUGCAAAAUUACUACCAGUUCAGUCGGUUGUGGCAAUCAACCCACUGAACUGUGCCCCCCUUUCCGGAGAUUUUGAUGGAGAUUGCUUGCAUGGAUAUGUUCCACAGUCUAUAGGAUCAAGAGUUGAGCUUGGAGAGCUUGUUAGCCUAAGCCACCAAUUGUUGAACAUGCAGGAUGGUCGAAGUUUGGUGUCAUUAACACAUGACUCUCUAGCUGCUGCACACCUGUUAACAAGCUCAGGGGUUUUACUGAACAAAACUGAAUUUCAGCAACUUCAAAUGUUAUGUGUUUCACUCUCACCGACACCAGUGCCAUCAGUAAUUAAAUCAAUAAACCCUCAAGGUCCACUGUGGACUGGUAAGCAAUUGUUUGGCAUGCUGCUUCCUUCUGGUAUGAAUUUCAGUCCCGAUCCUAAGUUACACAUCAAAGACAGUGAAGUGCUUGCCUGCUCAGGGGGGUCUUUUUGGCUACAGAAUAACACAUCUGGCCUUUUCUCUGUCUUGUUCAAGCAAUAUGGUGGCGAGGCUCUUGAGUUCCUCUCUUCUGCUCAGGAUAUGCUAUGUGAAUUCUUAACCAUGAGGGGUUUAAGUGUCUCUCUUUCAGAUAUCUAUCUGUUCUCGGACCAUUACUCAAGGAGAAAAUUCGCCGAGGAAGUUAACCUGGCAUUGGAUGAAGCUGAAGAGGCUUUUCGAGUCACACAGAUACUGCUAAGUCCAAAUUUCAUACCACAUCUGAAGUGUUAUGAUGACUGCGAUGAUCUAUCAGAUUCUUAUGAACAGUCCGAUUUUGUUCAGAGCAAUCUGCCGAUCAUCAAAUCUUCAAUCAUGGCGUUUAAGAGUGUCUUCAGCGAUCUUCUAAAGAUGGUGCAACAGCACACGCCUAAAGAUAACUCAAUGAUGGCGAUGAUUAAUGCAGGAAGCAAGGGUAGCAUGCUGAAGUUUGUGCAGCAAGCUGCAUGCGUUGGUCUUCAACUUCCAGCUGGCAAAUUCCCCUUCAGAAUUCCUUCCGAACUCACAUGUGCUAGCUGGAAUAGACAUAAAUCAUUGGACUGUGACAUUUCUGAGGGCGCCAGAAAACGUUUGGGAGGCCAAAACUCACAUGCUGUGAUAAGGAAUUCUUUUAUAGAGGGUUUAAAUCCAUUGGAGUGCCUUCUUCAUUCAAUUUCUGGGAGAGCGAACUUUUUCAGUGAGAAUGCAGAUGUUCCCGGGACAUUAACGAAAAAUCUAAUGUAUCACUUGAGAGAUAUAUAUGUUGCUUAUGAUGGGACUGUUAGAAGUUCUUACGGGCAGCAAAUAGUCCAGUUUACCUAUGAUACUGCUGAAGACAUAUACACUGAUUGCGGUCAGGAAGGUGAAUUUGGUGCCCCUGUUGGUUCAUGGGCUGCUUGUUCCAUUUCAGAAGCUGCAUACGGAGCUUUGGACCACCCAGUGAAUGUUAUAGAGGACUCUCCUCUCAUGAAUUUGCAGGUUAGAUUCUUUUAAUCUUUCCUUUCAUGGCCUGUGAUUAAUAUGUGGUCCCUUUCUUUCUGAUACUGUUUUAACUUCACUGUCAGGAAGUAUUAAAGUGCCAGAAGGGUACAAAUUCUUUGGAUCAUUUUGGUUUGCUUUUCCUGUCAAAGAAUCUGAAGAAAUACAGAUAUGGUUUUGAGUAUGCAUCGCUCUAUGUCCAGAAUUAUCUCGAACCAAUGGACUUCUCUGAGUUGGUUAACACCGUCAUGAUUCAGUUAGUACAUUUGACUCAUGUUUUUUUUCCUAUCACUUGACCUUGCAGUGGUGUUAAAUUAAGCAACAUUGUCUGCAUUUUGUUAUGCAGAUAUGAUGGAGGCGGUGUACAGAAAACCAAAGGAAGCCCAUGGAUUACUCAUUUUCAUAUAAGCAAGGUCUUGUCCUCUUGAACUAAAAUGAUCAAAUUUUCUAUUUUGUAGGGGCCAUUAGAUAUUUUUUUUUUGGGUAAAGGAUGUAACGCUACGAUACUAUAGGACAGAUCCUGUUCAAGUAAGGUCGUAGGAGGGGGGGGGGGUGUUACAUUGUUGCCUAUAUUUCUGCUUAAACUCGUAUGUACAUGCAGGAAAUGAUGAAGAGAAAAAGAUUGGGAUUAAGACUUCUCGUAGAAGAUCUUACAGAACACUACAAUGCCAAGAGAGACCAGUUAAACAAUGUGAUCCCUAAAGUUUAUAUUUCAAAAUGGUAAGUGCAGAAACUAUUUGUGUUAUGAUCAAUAUUUGUAUGAUCCUCUGUUUUCCUUUUCUUAUACAGCACUGAUUUGGUACACGAACUGCUUUCCCUAACCUGAAAGAGAAGAAAACAAUAUCUUCUCUGUUCCUUUGUACCCAACUCGUGUUGAGCUUGCAUUUCUACGGAAAAUCUUAGGUACAAGUCAAGUCAGGCCUAUAAAAGGCCAUACCUUGUAUUUGUAACUUUGGAGAUCAAGUGAAGAGGAGUCACUCAAUUCUCUCCCUAAUAUCCUGCUUUCCUUCAGUGCUAUAGUUACCAUGUUGUGAACUAGCAUUCUCAACAACUUGUAUGCUCGAUUCCAUUGAUAUCUACCAAGCAUGGAAUAAACAUUUAGUGUUUGACAUAUCGUAUGCUACGGAGUAACUAGUAGUGUGAUACAGACAUACAGUAUAUCAACCUAGCCAAAUUUUCUCUCCAAUAUUAGAUUUUAGUUGAUUCAUCACAUACAAUUUUAAGUUAUUAAUAUUUUUUGCAACACCUAUAAAGCUGUGCUUCAUUUCAUGAUGAAUAGUGGUUUAGUAUAGCAAUUCAACUGUUCAAUAUACAAUGCUGCUGUCCAUCAAACAGAAACCUCACAUCAAUGGGAGACCAAACAAGCAACAAGAAAUGAGUUAUUUAUUUUACUCUUAAAAACCAAUCUUAAAUUAUUUCAAAUUACUGAGAUGUCAGCAACAACAUGGAUGUCUAUGUUGAAAUUUCAUUGUCUAGUCAAGUCCAAUUACGGCAUGGCCUGUCCAGGCGAUAUUUACACAUCAAUAUUUCAACCAAUAUAUCAGACAGUAGAUGCUUAGGUGCCUUCUAGGCUAUCAAAUAGGUAAAAUUGUUUAACGCUUCACUCUGCAGCUGUUUUUUUAAUAAUGCAUGCUUUAUGUUGACAUGCUAGUACCUACUUUACUUUUAUCUUUAUGAUUUUGGUUCCUGCGAUAUAUCGUUUGACAUGUGAUAAUUCUACUCUGCAGCAAAUGUUCUGAUGAUGAUGAUUGUAUCAACAAUCAGACUUGUUGCAUCACUGUGGUAGCACAGGAUGAAUCCAACUCUACAUCUACAUCCCAACUGGACGAUUUAAAGAAAAGGGCCAUUCCAGUCCUCCUGGCCACACCAGUGAAAGGUUAUUAUGGCUUGAUAGAAUUUUCCAACUAUGUCCUCAAUAGUUUUAAAUUGCUAAAAAAUAAAUCCUUGCUUGCUAAGAUGGAGUUUUAAAUGUAUAAUUUAUUUUAUAUGUUUCAUGGUAGAAGGUAAAAGUUACUUUAGGUGCAACUUGAUCAGGCCUUCUGACAUUUUGAGAAAUGCAAGGGCCCAUUGUGUGACUUCUAUAUUUCAAAUAUCACAUGCUUCCUUCAGUACAAAAUAUGUGGACAAUGUUUUAUGGGACCGCUUGCUUUUCUUCCUAUGCAGGAUUUUUGGAAUUUAAGGAUGUUGAGAUCCAGUGUCAAAGAGACAACGAACUUGUUGUGAAAGUUAAUAUGUCUAAGCAUUGCAAGAGUGGGAUUUUCUGGACUACUCUAAAAAAGGCUUGCAUUGGAAUAAUGGGGUUGAUUGACUGGGAACGGAGCCGACCAGGGAGCGUAUAUGAUAUUUUCUGCCCAUGUGGCAUAGACUCAGCAUGGAAAUAUUUUGUCGAAGUAUAUAUUUGUUUCUCUUUGUUUUGAUUUUCACUUCUCAGUGAGAAUUUGGGUCAAAUUGUUUGGAAGCCUAUUGCCUCUGAUAAUUUCCUCUAUAGCAUUUGAUUUUCCCUUAUUCUCUGUGCAGUCUUUAAGAUCAAAAACCGAUGAUAUCGGAAGGAAUAUUCAUCGGGAGCACUUGCUGGUUGUGGCAGAUACUCUGUCUGUAAGUGGGCAGUUCCAUGGGCUAAGCAGUCAAGGUUUAAAGCAACAGCGAACUCAAUUAUCAACCUCAUCUCCAUUUUCUGAAGCUUGUUUCUCUGUGAGUAAUAUUAGAUAUUCUGAGUAAUUUUUUACUACAAGAUUUGCCUUUUAAACUGCGGUGAACAGAUUCUAAUUUUAUGUUAUUCUCUGCAGAGGCCUGCAGAUACUUUUAUAAAAGCUGCAAAACAAUGUUCAGUGGACAAUCUCUGUGGUAAUAUAGAUGCACUUGCCUGGGGCAAAGAGCCUCCUGCCGGGACUUCAGGUCCUUUCAAGAUUAUGUAUGCUGGAAAGGUUGUAUUGUAACUGCUGUACCAAAUUUAGGCACGAUAUUUUUUUUAACAGCACUUCAAUAUACUCCCAAAAAUGAAAAACAGGUUCUAGAGCAAAUCGUGGUCUUUAUAUGCAAUCACCCAUUACUGCACUGCAAUAAAUUCGCAAUUUAGUUUUUUGGAGAACAUAGUACCAAUUGUUUUCUCAAAUACUUGCUUAUGAUCAGGCUGUGGGCUGCUUUAAUAGUCUUGUCUCUGUUAUGUUUUGAUUAUUUUCUGGUUGGUUAAAAUACACGUCGGUUCUUAAUAUACUCGAUCUAUAUUGUGAUAUUUUGUUGGAUGCUAACAUGUAACUUCUUAUGCAGCCGCAUGAGCCCGUACAAAAUGAGAACAUCUAUGGCUUUCUACAUAACCCUGAAGUUUGGGGACCUGAAAAGAAUCAUAUGGAAACGGACAGUACAAGAACAAAAAAUGCUUCCGAAAGGUGGUCAUCUGGAAAUGCUACCUUCAAUGGUGGCACCAUAUCCGUGGAACAGAAUUAUCUUGGUGCUAAAGUUGGUGUAUGGGACAGCAUUAUUGAUAUGCGCACUUGCUUGCAAAACAUGCUACGAGAGUAUGCCCACAUCACUAUCUAUGGAAUUGUGCAUAGUAGUUUUUAAAUCCCAUUUGGAGUUUUGUCUUGAUUACUUUCUAUAUGAUAUCAUGUUUUACUUCCAUGAAGGUACCAAUUAGAUGAAUAUGUCGUGGAGCUAGAUAAAUCACGCGUAAUUGAGGCCCUGAGAUUUCACCCCAGAGGACGCGAAAAGAUUGGUGUUGGAAUAAGAGAUAUAAAGGUAAUUAACAUAAAUACAUAUUUAUUUUUGUGGCAUAGCUUCUUUCUGCUGAUCUUAUUUUAGAUCAUUACUAGGUAAUGCCUAGGUAAUGCUCAUGGGUUGCUACGAAAACAUUUAGAUAAUAUUAUCAAUAUAUUUUAAAAAUCAAGUAGCCAUGCAAUGCUCUAUGAAUACAGUUGUAGUCUUAGUAAUUACGUGUCUUCGUAUACUUGUUUGCAUGCUUGCCUUCUAAUGGUUCAAAGAGUAUUUGUUUCUUAGAUGACGAAAUUAAUACAUAAGGUUGUAAUGUCUUCUUUUCAACGGUGCAUGAUCCUUUCUUCUAACACUUCAAAAGCGUAAGUGUGAUUUGUAAUGAUUUGUAUGGAUCGAUUAUGAUCAUAUGACCAUGACAGAAACACAUUCUAAACAAUUCCUGUUAUACCUAUGAGAAUACCUUUCUUUUAAUAAUAAUAAAAUGAUUAGAUUUGUUUAGUGCCCUAAUAGGUAACAUCAUAAAAAUGGUGCAUGAAUCUUCAAAGAAAAAAAAGUGGUACAUGAAUAGACUUUUUUGGAAGCACAGACCUAUAGGUUUUAUCCUUUUCUCUUAUUCUCUAACAAAGCAACAAAUGCAUCCAAGGAUGGGAAAUUUUGAGAAAUGCUUAACACAAGGGUGUGUUCAUAAGUAGAGAUGGUAGCUUGCAGACUUAGUGUCUUGGAUGAGGAUGGAUAUUGGAUUGUAAUUUUGUGGAGGAGAGGGGAGUCGAUGUUGAUUGCACAUUCUGAGCUAUUCCUGGUUACUAAAAGAGAAAUCAAAUACAUGAGGCUGGCUAAUAGAAUUUGAAAGCCUUGCUUUUAUAUGCCCUAAACGAUCGCUUUCAAAUGACACAUCUUUUAUGAUCAACACAACACUUCAGUGCACCAUCCGGCCAAUUAUAUAGCAAACCGUAUGGCCUACAUGUUCAGUUGCAUUGUUUGCACUUCAUGCAUCAACAAUGCACGAGUGCAGUAAAUAUGAAUUGUUAUUUAAGCUACUGGAUAUUAUUUUUAGUGGUGAUAUGGCUUAAUGAGGUUGCUUUCUUAGGAGUCGAUUUAGGAUAAAGGAUUGAUCAGACUAUACUAAUAGGAUUUCUCUUAUGUUUUAGAAGAAUAGGGUUGGUUUCUUUACAUUAUUUGUGUGUAUUCUAUUUUUCACUUGGUAUCUGUGCUAAUAUUCUUGCUGUUAUCAUAGAAAUCUUCAAAGAACUUUCCAGUUAAUGUGAAAAAGAAUUGUGUAAAUUUAGUUUAAUCUUAGGGUAACUAUUGUUGCCAGCUUUUCUAGCAUCGUUAUUCGGUAGCUUCUCAACACUGAAUGAACAAUAAAUCAUUUCCGGGCGUCCAGUUAGUUCAAUCUUAGGCUCUGGCUCAUAGGGGUGCUUCCUGCUUUUACCACUGAGAAGUGUAUCCUAUGAAUCCCUGUUUCAGUAAAACUGCUUGCUGUAAAUGUUGUACCCUGACUAUUUUGCAGUGCAUUGUGGCCGUUUUAGCAUAUUGUGAGCGCGUGACCAAACAUUUUCUGUGUUUCCUGCAUGCAGAUUGGGCAACAUCCUAGUCACCCAGGCACAAGGUGCUUCAUUUUGGUACGGAAUGAUGACACCACUGAAGACGUCUCUUACAAGAAAUGUGUCCAAGGUGCUGCGGACUCUAUCUCGCCUCAGCUUGGAAGUCACAUGGAGAAGAUACUACAAACCAGAUCAUUUUGUCGUGAUAGUUGGCGGUAGCACUUUUUGCCGUUUCAUUUCAUCUAGUCCGGGACAGUGAAAAACUCGCAAAGAUAGUUGGAUAGUUUCUUCAGUUAGUCCUGAAACAGUGAACUCUGAAGACGCCAUGCUUCUUCACCAUUCUUUUUAGAAAAAAAGCACACAAUAUGUUGUUGCUCCUGGGUAGGGGAGGUUUCCUUGUACUGAAAAUUUUGAUGUAACCCCUGAUUUUGUGGUUGACGUUUUGGAAUAGAAGUAUUUCUCGGUAAAGUUUCGGCAUUUAGUUGAAAUUUCCUUAAAUGCCAACAGUUUACCAAGAAAUACUCCUCUUCCAAAUUGUCAACAAUGGUUGAAUUGCCAUGAGGCGUUUUCUCGGGAUAAAGAAGCAAUUUGAGAUUUCCAGAGUUGUGGGGGAACACAAACUUUUAAUUUGAUUGCACAGCUCUUGAUCCCCUUCACUUUAGCAUCGAUCUAUCUGGAGGAUUGGAAAGUUGGAAGGAAGAAUGUUGCUUGGACGUAAGUAUGUAGGAACAUAAUUGAAAUGCUAAAAUAACAUUUAUUCAAGAAGAGUGAGAGGAAUUGAAUACGUGUCCUGUCAUCCUCCUGAUCCUUGCGAACAAGUAGUACGUAUACAUACACACAACCGUAAACACGUACACUGUACGCAUGUAUACAACAAACAAUAUAUGAACGAAUAAAUCAACACCUAGUAGUAUAUAUCCCCACCUGUAUAACCACUAAUUCUGUAAUUCAUAUAUGUCCCCAAAACGCCAGAAGAGAAAGAAUAUAACCAAAAUAAAAGAAGAGAAAAGAAAUGCACAAUUUCUAUACGUUCGACCUCUUGUGUAAUUUGGAUCUGUCGAACAUCGUCCUAAUAAUAGUACAGUACAUGAAGAAGAAAGGAAUCAAAGAUCAAUCUUUGGCGUGCUCCAGCGCGUCCACCAUGAGCUGCAUCGCCCUGACCUGCACCUGCAGCCGCACGAUGUAGUCGGCUGCCCGGAUCAGGAGCUCAUCCACGCCGUCCUCUUCCUCCUCCGUCGGGGUCACGAGCCGCCGCAGCGCUUCCAUCUUCCUCCUCAUCGCCGCCUCCACGCAGCGCCUCCCGCUCUUCUUCUUCUUAUUGCUAUUCCUCGACGUCGCCGGCGCCGGCGUUGUCCUUCUAGGAGGAGCCUGCACGGCGGCGUUGCAGCAGCUGUCGGCGUGCGCAACCAUGGCGGCUACUUAAGAUCGUGGAUGAUACGGGACAGCUGAGAUGGAUAAUAGUAGCUGCUGUGCUAGCUGGUGUGGCUAAGUUUGCAUGUGUUGGAACAUGGCCAAAGGGGUGAGGUAUAUAUAGAGGGGGAAGGAAGGAUGGUUGGAGCUAGGUUGGAAGCUGGGGCGGCGAGAUAUGUGGGGGAAUUAGGUGGCAAAACAUAAAUAAAUGCAUGCAUAUGCUGAUGAUGUCUUGUGAUUAAGCAUAUGCAUAUGCUAGCUAGCUAGCUACAUGAUGCAUGUGGAUCAUAUAUGUGUGCUUAAUUUAUCUGAGAAUGCAAUGCAAUGGUAGAGAUCAGAAGUGUGUAUGGGUGGAGGCAUGUUGUGUGGCAUGCAUAUGCAUGGGAGGGGUGUUGCUUGGGGUUGAGGGCAUGCAUGUUCUCCUAACUCAAGCCCACAUGCCACCACAUGAUUCCUUAAACAACCAACAUCUCUUUCUCUAUAUCCAGCAAGGUUUACAAUUUUUUCCAUAAAUUUUCGGUACCCACUGAAAUGACCGACUUUGGGAAUUUCAGAAACUAUUUUGUAUUUCGAUGUUUGAAAUUCCACCAUAAUUUAUCAAAAUUGUAGCCGAACGUAGACUUAUCUAGCACAAGCUAAUUACUCGGUUCUCAAUCAAAAAUGAAAAAAAAAAUACUGGAUUUCAGGAUAAAGCAAAUUUACAUCAAAGCUAUUUUAAGCCUUGCUCUCAAGUUCAAAUAAAUAAAUAUAAACAAGAUCUCUCUCUUUCAUCAAUCCAAGCACACAGGCUGACACCUCUCAAAGUCUCACACCCCACCAAGGCACCAACCAUGCACUCUCUCCUCCCCCAUUUCAUUCUCCUCGUCAGAACACCCUGUACCAGUACCUUGCAUGCAUGUGUUAGUGUGAUGUGUCUUGGGCCCACAUGCCUCUGCCACCUCAACAAAGGCGCAGCUACCCAAGAAAAGUCUCAUGCAUGCAUCAUGUGCACGCAAAGUUGCUACAUGCAUGUAGCUAGUGCUCCUCCCUAAGUUAAUUAGUUAUUUAGUAAUUAGUUAAAUAUAAUAUUGGUGUUGCACACUAAUGUGCCACCAUGUUCCCCUAAGGGGAGCUGAUCAUGAUAGCCUAGCCACCAGAUCGACCAUCGUGAUGCUGAUUUAAUUAGCCGGCCGGCCGCACAUGUAGACCAAUCUCCAUGAUUUGGGGGCUGCUGAUUUCCUGACACAUGCUGAUCUUCCUCAUUUUGAGGUAUAAUUUUGACAUAUAUUCUUCGUUACAGUAACGUGCAUGGCACCUACUAGCUUAUCUUGAGAUGUGGCUAUACCGUACGUACCUAGCUGACAAGUGUGUUGAUAGCGCGAUUUGCGGGAGUACAAGGUUAAUUAGCACACUUAAUAAACCGACAUGAUCAGCUAAGCACUUUCUACGAAGAUUCCUAUAGAGAUCAUGGAGGCAAAUAUAGUUAAUUGUGUCAGUGCAUCCAUACCGUCGGACACGGCAGCUGUAGAACAUGUAUAACAGACAGUAACGAGCUUAGAUUAGGUCCGUUUGGUUAUAGUAAUGUAAUGUCAGGCAUGUGAAUUGUGAUUAACUAAGCUGAUUAAUUUAUUAACCGGAGUACAGUACUGCACGGAUGAGUCAACCAUACGCAGCAAAGGUCAAAAUUAUCGUACUACUAGCUAGGAUUGGGGGUAAUAUACAGUGUUGUGAUUUUAGCCGUUGAUCUCACGAUGGACGGAUCUGGGUAAUCCUAUCGUUUGAUCCAAGUCCCCAAGAGCGAACCAGGCAGGGGAAGGGAAAGGGAAGCAGAUAUUUUGGAGAAGCUAUAAGCUAUGGCCGUCGCGCCGGUUCUGCCGCCGACUCUCCUCGCCUCCCACGCCGCCGUCCGUGCCGUGGCCUCGCGCGUCGCCGCCUCCCGCCCUAUCCGAGUCGCCGGCGACGACCAUCUCCACCCGCCGCAGGUCGCGUCCCUCCGGCGCGGCGAUUGGGUGAAGCUCAUAUGCGGCGCCAGCUUCGAGGUACCGCAUACUGAAUCCCCCGCCGGGAACUACCUCCUGUUUCCUUCCCUGCAUGCUUGUUUGUUAGUCCCCGGCGACGGCGGCUCGUGAAUGAGUUUAUUAUGCUGGAGACUGGAGGGGGAGGAGCUGCUCAUUAUGAUGGGAACACAUGUGUUGUAUCCUGGUGUACGAUCGAGGAUCGCCGGACCAAGGAUCAACGAUUUCGGGGAGGAAUUCGCUAGACGGGGAGAGAGACGAAUAGGACAGAUUUCGAUUACUUUGUUCUUUCUUGCCUUACAAUUCACCCAGCAUCACGCUUAAGUACUCGAGUCACACGCACAUUACAAGUCACAACCCAAAGCCGCUCACGCACGCCAGAAUAGUUGCCUUACUGUGAAGAAGACGUAUUUCCACAACCCGCUUCUCCUGUAGCUGUAAUGCCCGUCGUCACACCUCCUGUAGCUGUCACCACAUGUGUGACAACAUGGUGGAUGGGUUUUACUCGUCAACAUUACUGCAAUUACAAGAUACAUUUCCCAACUAAUUUAACCUGUGGAUUAUUAGUAGUUAAUUUCUUCCUCUGGGAUAAAUGAUAAUACCCACUUAUCCAUGGUGACGAUUUAAUUGAUAUGAUAACUGCGAAAUCAUUGGGACUGGGAUUUUCAUGUGGCUCACAAUUCACCUUACAUGUGCCUUGUAGGAUGCUGCUGAUGUCAGGAAUCUCUCCCUUGUCUACACGUUGGCUGGAGGUAUGCACGUUGGUUUAAUUGUAAAAUAAUACUAGUUCAGUGUAUGCUUAGUAGUAUUUCAGACCAACAGAGACACGGAGUAACAGUCCUGAAUUCCUGACAGCAAGUUCGUAUAGGCUUGCAUAGUCAACCAAGAGUUGAUUAUUGAAUUACCUGGUGUUAGACAUUUCCUGAACAGACCGAAACUGAAACCCCAAAAUUAUUGAACCCAAGGGCAAGCUUGUAUUGCUUAUGAGUAAAGGUGCAUGAUCGAGAUAACAGAGUCAUGCAGUUAGUUGAUGGUUUCGUACAUCCAGGCACACAUUUUUUCUAAUUCCCUCUUGUUGAGAAAGAUGUGUAAAAUAUGGGUACAUGUUACGGUCCAUUGAUAGUGGAGCGAAAUGAAUGGGGUGUACAUUGUUGUAUUUACAUUAUGCAGAUUACGAAGUUCAAGUCCAUGGAGGGACUUCUGUAAGCAGGGGCGAACCCAGCCGGGUAAUAAUUUUUAAAAUUCCUUUUCAUUAGUAGAAAUUAUCAAAAAAAAGUUAGGAAAAAAUAGAAUCGAAGUGUGUUUGCCCCACCCAAUAUUGAAAAUACAGUGUUUGCCCCACCCAAUAUUGAAAACCUAGGUCCGCCACUGUCUGUAAGUGGGUGAGGUUUUAAAAGGCUUCCUGGAAGUUAAAACCAAUGAAUAAUAACUCACUUUGUCUCGCUAGUAUACAUCUCGAUUAAAUGGAAUGAGCUGAGGAAGCCUGGUCUGAUAUACUUGUUAAACAAAGAAAAUAAAGGGUGAGACGCAAUGUUUUUGUCUACUUGGUAAUAAAAUUGUUCUAUUUGGUGUGAUUCCGUCAAUAUAUGAGGGUUUACACGUAGAAAUCAUGGAUCAUUUUUGUGCAUGCAGUGGAUUGCAUUGAUUGUGCAGCAGAUGCAUCUGUAGUCGGUGCAGUCAAUGAAGGUAUUGAUGUAGCAGCCUCAAUUGUACCAACAGUUCAAAGGCCUUGGGUGAUGGUUAGUGUUAAUGAUGAUUGCAGAGAUCUCCAUUUCCGUAAAGCUGGUAAGGAAGAAACACUGUUCUCUUUCUAGUUCAUGAAAUUCAUACAUGUACUUCAAAAUAAUACUCUGAUUAUUCAUAUUUAAGCAUUGCUUGUUUUAAUCUUAAAUUUCUUUAGUACUGUGUGGCUAUAAUAAAUGUACUCAAUUUCCUGCUUUCACUAGCAGGACUUGCUGCAUGUCUAUUUAAACUGCAGGAUUUCUUAACUGCUGAAAAAACUUCACCUCUGAAGACAUGAACUCCUCUCUGUUCUCUAGAAUUUGAUCCUGAGGAUUGCCCACCGAAUUGCUCCAAGCCAUGUGAAAAAGUUUGUCCUGCUGAUGCAAUAUCACUAAAGAGGGUCGUGGUCGGAGGAGAACAUGCGCAUUCUGAUCCUUUAUCUGACAAACUUGAGGUGUCUAUUGGUUUAGUUACGCUAUUAUGCUUUUGUUUAUUCUCUCCAUGAAGUUCUUUCUUCCAUUUUUAUCAUCAAAACCCUGCCUUGUGUAGGGUGGUGUCAUUAUGCAAAGAUGCUAUGGCUGUGGUAGAUGCUUAUCAGUUUGCCCUUAUGACAGAAUAAGUGAGCACCGUCUUUCUUCUUUCUUCCUUUUGUUCUUUCUUUAGUCAUCUGGAUCUUUGUUUGCACAUAUCCUUCUAUAUGUGCAUAUUUGUUCUCACCAUGUAUUUAAAGGUAAUAUGAUCCUUCCUGUUCCUCUAUUUAUUUUACAGAAGCUGAUAACUUCUCUUGAACCAUUUCAGGUGCUAUGUCCUAUAUUCGAGAUCCUACCAUGACUGCUGAACUGUUGAAAAGGAGUGAUGUCGAUGCAAUAGAAAUUCAUACCACUGGAAAGUAUGUUUCCCUUUCCUCGUAGGAUUUUUAGAUUAAGUUAUGUUUGCCUUUCUCUGUUACUUAGUACACUUGCUGUAAUACUUGUUCACUGCUGUAGGGGGACCGAUAUGUUCAGUAUCCUCUGGAGCAGCUUGGGCGAGUCAAUCAAUAGUGUGAAGCUGGUUGCAGUAAGCAUCAUACUAUGUAUCUGUAUGUGCUAGUUCUGAUGCUGAGAAGUCCUAGCAUGCAAUCUCCCUAUUGUUUCUCGUAUAAGAAAUAUGGAAGUUUGUGCAUUUCAGGUUAGCCUGCCUAAUGCUGGUGAAUCAACAAUUGAUUUCAUGAAUGCAAUACACACGAUAAUGCAGUCUUAUCGUGAAGGGUAUAAUCUUUGGCAGGUUUGUUCUCAAGACAACAAUUCCUAAAUUGCAUCUUUCUAGCGUUGUUGAUAUUUUGUCAAAUAUGGCAAGGUUCAUGAACUUAUUAACAACGAUACCUUUAUAAAUCUGGUAACCAAUAUAAAUGAAGAUGAAAAAACUACAAAUUUAAGACAAUUGCAAAUUCCCAGUUUGAAUAAAAUACACAACCUUGAAAUCUUUAAAGCUAGCACUACUUCUUGAAUCCCCUUGGUUUGAUAGAAAACAUGGUCAUGCAUAUGAUAUAUGCUAUUGCUGAUCCUAUACUCAUAUGCAUGCUUUUAUUCUAGGCUUAUUUCAGUUUUACUUUUAUUAAUGUGAGUAGUUAGAUGGUCGGCCCAUGAGCGGUGACAUUGGUCGAGGCGCAACAAGGGAAACAGUUUCUUUUGCUGUUGAUUUGACUUCCAUGUCAGAUAGGCCUCAGGGUAAACGAAUUCAAUCUUUGCAACAUUAAAGCAAUAUGCUCUGUUAUCCUUCACAUGUUCUAAGUAUUUACUGCUACUAUGGUCUUGAAGGCUUCUAUCAGUUAGCUGGUGGCACCAACUUAUACACCGUAGACAGCUUAAAGAACGCUGGUCUUUUCAAGGCUACGACUUUACCUGGUAAUUUGUUUCCUUAUGUUUGUCUCCUUAUUCAAUUCUUUCACGGAAUACUUAUCAGUUAUUUCACCUAUGAUCACUUGAUACUGUUUAAUCCUCAAAAUUCAGGGACAACUACCACUGAAAAAUUUGGUUCUCAGCAAGCUCUAAUUGGAGGAAUAGCUUAUGGUGGCUAUGCUCGUAAGGUUUGAUCUUGAACUCAUCAUUCAGCAUCAUCUCUUUUAUAUAUAUGGGGAGAUGUUGUACUGAAGUCUAGCAAUUAGCUUGCCAUCACUGUUUCCAAGGAAUGGAUUGUUGUACAUGUUCCCUCUGGUCCUAUUUUUUACUUGAUGUGCUCUGUGAUUGAUAGUGUUCUAACAUUUUUUUCGAAAAGGAGGGCAGCCCUCGAUAGUGAUCUAACAUAAACCUGAUAUCUUAACAAAGAACUGAAGAAGAAAAAGAAGAAGAGAGCAUGGCAAAUCAUCGUCCUGCAUACUUGUAUAUUUGUCCUAUGAACUCUUGAUGACUUGCUGAUUCAAAUUCCUAUCUGCUAAUUGCAGAUCAUUGGAAGAAUUCUGCGCAAAAUACCAGUACAACUCGGUCGCAUGCGCAUUGAGGAUCACCCGGGAUAUCUACUGGAGGCAUUGCAAGAAGCCAUGUCGUUAGUAGGUCCUGUGAAGGGUUAUCCAAGUCCCCCAAAAUGAAUUAAAAUGUCAUAGCUGAGCUCUCUACAAUAGCAUCAAAUUUGGGCAUUGCCGGAGGUGGCAUCUCAGCUGGUCUUGUGCAGAUACAGGAAGGGGCGAAGGAGAGUAUUUUUAUCUGAGAUGUUGCCUCCAGCUUCUUUUUUUUGAGAAAAAGAUGUUGCCUCCAGCUAAUCAGGUGGUCGCGUUGUGUGGACGUAUUUUUCCUGGCCGUUGGAUUGUUUGAUGAGCGAUGUGGAUGGACCGUUGCUGGCUCUCUCUCACACACACAGAGGCCUCCUAGCUUGGUGAUCAGACCCAGACCCAGACCCAGACCCAUUCAUCGAACCAACCAUGAUCGAUGCAAAUAUUGAGAUUUAUGUCGUGUUCUCCGUAAGAAUGAGUUCUGAAUUUCAACACUUUCUCAAAUCUAGACUCACAAAUUGAUUUGGUUUGCAAUUUUCAGAACUAAAAUAAAGAUUAAAAGCUGCUGGAUCCACUGUUUUUAGUUGUUUUUGUUUUAAAAAAACUGCAGGAAUAAAACAAACUUAGUAACACUAAGAACUACAACAAGCAAAUUGACAAGACAGUGUAAGAAGCAAGGGUUUUAGACAUGGAAGAGAUCAGUAGACUGACAUCCAAACAAUACAGGACUAGCAAACUGAAACUUGAACACUUUGCUGCACUUUUACUGAAUUCAACGACUAUUACAUGAACUAGAACAAAGAUUAGCACAUGAUUUAGCUCAACAACCACAGAUCUAAGCACUUUUACUAGAAGGAGAGAUUUCAGCUAGGGUUUCGAAUUCAGAUUACACACAGCUAGGGAAGCAAGGGAAUAGAUUACACACAGCUAGGGAAGCAAGGGAAUAGACAGGGUCACCAGAUUUCUCAGCAAGGGAAGCAAGGGAGAAGACAGGGGAUAAGGUGAUCUUCAGGACUUCAUCUUCAAGAACAGGGAACUCCAUCUCUCUCCAUGGUCUCUUCUCUCCUCCUCUUCUUCCUCUCCUCUCCUCUCUUCUUUUCUGGUUCCUUUCCUCUCGAGCCCUCCUCUCUCUGGCAGGCAGAUGCCUUUUAGCUCAAGGAUGGAGUGGUUGGAAGUUUUGC